rnacentral:lncRNA from 1 species
UUUUUUUUUUUUUUUUUUUGUUAAGCAAUGGUUUCCACCCAAAAAUGGGCAGAAAUAGAAGGAAUAAAACUAAAUUCAUUAUACUAUAUAAGAAUGAGUUUAAGGCUAGAUUUCAACCGCAGGGAUGGGGCUAUUUUGGGAAUAUGAGAGUGUUUGAAGAGUAAUUAGAACACUGAGUACAAGUCAUUAUAGCUUUAAUUUCACUAUAAUUACUUAUAUAACCUUUCAGACAUUUAAGGUUAGGGGCAGGUUUGGUAUGUUACAAUGUUUGAAACCAAGUUGAGUGUCAAGUACAACUGAAUAAAGCUUGUAUUUUGAUAGAAUUACAUAAAAGUCAUUUUAAUCAUUUAUUAUACUAACAUCCAAACCUUCCAAUUUCCUGAAACCUUUCUCAUCUGUUAAGAAAUUAAUUGGAUGUUUACAUAAUUGGAUUUUAAUUGUAAUUAAUUAACUUAAUUAUUAUCUGAACAAUCAUUAUCAUAUUUAUGUCCCUAUGUUUAGCCGAUACCCUUUCUUCUUUUUCGGUUUCACCUCUUUGAUUUUAUUAUGGCUAUUAAAUAUUUGGUGGAAUGCAUAGCUUUUCCUUUAAAUUGAGGUGAGUUCUUUGGAUUUGUUUUCUUCAAUUGUAGUUUUUUUUUUUCCGAUGAUUGGUUUAUUCAAGAACUUCAUAUAGUUUGCCUUUUGAUACUUCUAAUUCAAAAAACUGACUAAUUGUAUUUUUUUUCUUAAUAGAUCCCAGAGAUUCUGUCUCUGGUCAAUGUAAAAUUUGAGAUAACGUUGUCACUUUCUAAAAUAAUCAGAAAAGCAAUUUUAUCAUCUUCUCCUCCUCAGCCAAGGUAUUAUCUCUUUAUUUAAAUCAAAUAACGGGCUCAGUUUGGAUUAGCUGUUUUUGGGAUUGUUUUUCAAAAACAACACUAUAGCAUUUCGUUUUUGAAAUACAAGUCCGUUUGGAUUAGUUAUUUUUAGGGUUAUUUUUCAAAAAUUAUAUGAAAAACUGUUACAGUAGAUGUAUUUUGGAUUAUUUUUAGAGGUAUUUUUAAAACAUAUUUUUGAAUAUUUUUAUAAUUUAUAAUUUUUAUAUUUUUAUACUUAUAUAUAUUUAUGUAUUUAUAAUACAUUUAUAAAUAAAUAUAUUUAUAUAAAAAUAUAUAAAUGUAUUAUAUUAUAUAUAAUACAUAAUAUAAAUAUAUUUAUAAAUGUAUAUUAUUAUAAAUGUAUAAAUUAUAAAUGAAUAUUAUAUAAAUGUAUAAAUUAUAAAUGAAUAUUAUAUAAAUGUAUAAAUUAUAAAUUAUAUAUAAAUAUAUAUUUUUAUACAUUUAUAAUACAUUUAUAAAUAUUUAUAAAUAAAUAUAUUUAUAUAUUUAUAUAAAAAUAUAUAAAUGCAUUAUAAAUGUAUUAUAUUAUAUAUAAUACAUAAUAUAAAUAUAUUUAUAAAUGUAUAAGUGUAUAUUAUUAUAAAUUUAUAAAUGUAUAAAUGAAUAUUAUAUAAAUGUAUAAAUUAAUAUAUUAAAAAUAUAUAUUAAUAUUAUGUAUAAAUGUAAAAUUAAUAUUAUGUAUAUUAAUAUAAAUGUAUAAAUGUAUUAUAAAUAUAGUAUAUUAUAUAUAAUACAUAAUAUAAAUUUAUAUUAUAAAUAUACAUUAAUAUAUAUUAUGUAUAAAUGUACAUUUAUAUAAAUGUAUAAUUUAUAUGAUAUAUAAUAUAUAUUAUAUUAUAUAUAAUUUAUAUAAUAUAUAAUAUUUAUAUAAAUAUAUAAAAAUAUUUUUUAAAUAAAAUAAAAUAUUUGUAAUAUGUAUAAAUAAAUAUAUAAAUAUUUAAUAUAUAUAAUAUACAUUAAUAUUAAUUAUAAAUAUUAUAAUAUUAUAAAUAUGGUGUUUAUAUAAUAUUUCAAUUUGUAAUAUUUAUUGUAUAUUUCAUUAUAUAAAUAUUUAUAUAAUAUAUAAUUUUCAAUUUGUAUAAUAUACAUAAUGAGGAAUUUCUUCUGAUUUUAGUUACCAUUUUCUACAAUUUCAAAUUUAGAAAAUAUUAUUUGUACUAAUUUUUUAUAAUCAAGAUAGUUUCAAUUCAGAUCUUUAACAAUUAUGCAGAUUUGAACUUAUUUAUGAGAUUAUAAAAAAAUGCUCCUAGCAAAAAAUACCAAAUCUGAAUAGUUUCUACAAAACUUUGAAAAAGAUCACUUAAGUUUCUUAUCUAUUUAUCAUUUUGGGCAUUAUUAUCUCUAUAAGAAACAUGUGAUUAAGUCGUAUUAUACCCACCAAAUUAUAUAAACAGUUAGUCAAAAAUAAAAUUAUUUUAUAUUAGAUUGGACGCAAAGUGAUUGAUGGAUAAACUUGACUUGAUAAUUCAGGUUAAGUUUAAGUCGAGGGAGAAAUUAGAAGUAUUGCUUGAGGGAUCUUUCACGAACAUAUAUAGAUUCGAGAGAUGAAGGAUCCAAUUGAUACUUUAAAAUGUUUUAUCAUCUUGGAUAAGUUUUAAAAGAGACCUUUGGAUACUUUUCAAUUGCACUUCAAACAUUCUUACAUUUUCAAACUACCCUUAUCUUUGCAGUUGAAAUUCAAACAUAACUUUUGAUCACAACGGAUUCUUAUAUAGUAUAACGAUAAGGAUGUCUCAUUGCACAUUAUUUUUAUUGACUCACUAUGUAACUUAUGAUUUUUCUAUUAAAAUUACAUGAUAAAAUCAUCAUACUUCAGUUCCUAUACUACAAAAUAUUAAACAACAAUUAUUAAUUAUCUUGAAUUACAAGCACCAAAUUCCCGCGCGUCGCGCGGGCUGUCUCUCCCUAGUAAUUGAAAUAAUUUAAUUUUUUUAAAAUAUCAUUUUUCGCUAUCUUUUCCAGUAAAUUAACACUUGAUCUUUUCUUUUCCUUCUUAAUCCAGACAAAAUUUUAGUAUUUCAUUUUUUUCCACCAUAUUUGAUCCAAACAAGAUAGAUGAAAUUCACUUUUCUCCCGUCUUCUUUUUUUUGUCCGGCAUGAUAGAUUUUAUACUACACAUACUCCUACUCUAUAUUAGGAGUAGGGGAUGACUCAAACGAAUCAAGGGAUAAUCUGAUGUGAACUGAACUAUCACUGGUUCAGACGGGUUUCUACGCACCUGGUGGUUGAGCAUUCUAGAAAAUCCUAGAUAUUAAAAUGUAGGUCAAGGGAUUAUUCGAUCACUUGACCUACAUCCAAGUAAAGUCUUGAAACUCUUUUGGUGGCCAAGUUCACUUUUCUCUGGUCUCCUUUCCUUUCUUUUUCAUUGGUGUCCUUUUCUUUCCUUUCCCUUGCUUUCCUUCAAUCCAAACAGUGUCUUAGAAAGUAUGGAAGGAAGGGAUGCUUGUAUUCAUAUAUGAGAAUAACUCAACAACAAUUGUUGACAUUUCUACUUCUAAUUAUAGAUUUAUUAGUGUGUACAAACAGGCCUCACCGAUUCAACGAAAACUUGAAGCCAAUCUGCCCCACAUCAAAUUCAUGGUAUAAAUGCGUUAUAUAUAACUAUAAGAAAAUUCUAAAGUUAACCACUCCUUCAAAUUGUAUCUCUUUUAUGAUAACAACUAUCCAUAUUUUAAAUUCAGAGUUCUUCAAUUCUACGUUCUAAGAGUACAAGACAAGAGUGGACCUAACAGUUAGUUAUCUUAAAAAGUAUAAAUUUUCUUCGCGAAAGUUAGCCUGAAUUCAAGGGGUGGAUGAUACUAUAUGAAAUUUAUACUGAAGUCAUUCUCCAUAUUUUGUGCGUUUAUUCUAUGCCCUCAAGAGGUAAAAUAGACGAAAACUUUAAAUAAUUCAAAUUAUUAGAAUCUCAUGGCAAAAAAAAAAAAACAAUUUAUUCAUUAUUAACGGAUAAAUUUAACUUGAUGACAUGAUAUCUACUAGAAGAGACUAUAAAAUCUCCUAUAACUAUCAUCCAUAUAUAAGUAGAACUACAAAGCGUAUAUGUUAUUGCUUUCUACGUAUGGUCAGUUUAUGACUUAAACCUUUUAAACUAGUAGACAAUAUCAAAACUUAAAACCAUUUGAACUGACCAUCACACUGUUUUAGCAUAUUUAGUUGUGACUUAAACUCUUAAACAAGUAGACAAUUUCAGAUUUGAAACCAUUUGAACUUAUUCUUACUUCUCACUUUAACCUUUUAAACUACUAAAGAAAAAAAUUUGGAUUUAAAACCAUUUUGAGCUGUUUACCAUUGCAUAUUUAGGACGAAAAUAGAAGAGGACAAUCUGGAUUGCACUUCUGUUCAGCAUUUUUGGUAACAAUCCUAAUACCACCCAGAAACAUGAGGAAGCAGCUGCUGAUGGUUUAAUGAACCAGUCUAAUUGGCCACCCUUCACUUUCUCUUCGCCUCCAAAAGUGGCCCAUUUAAAUUUGCUUUUGAUUUCGGCUUCUGGCGUUCGUGCACUACUCUCCACACAUGUCGAGUCCAAGGAUGAGCCCAUUCUUCCCGAGCCUCUCCAAUUGGUAUUGAGAACUGUAGGACUGUCUCCAAUUGGUGUUUGACAAGUUGUUCACCAGAUGGGAUUUAAAAUCCCUCUUAAAAAUCCAAAUCCCACGUCUUAAAGUUUAAAAGAUCUAGAAGAUAUGCCAAUACUUUUUUUUUCGACACGAUAGACCUACACUUACUUUAUACUAGGAGAGGGGGAUCUAAAUAGGUCCAAGAAGAAAUCAGAAGGAAUUGAACCAUCACCGAUUCAGACGAAUGCACUACGCACCUGUCUGAAAAGCCACUUCCACAUAUAAUUACUGAAACCUUGUCUCCCACCCCACCAAGCCUUGCAUGCUAGCGUGGUGGCCAAUAGCCAAAUGGCUGUUGGUUUAGAAGAUAUGCCAAUACACUUCUGUACUUUAGAUGGGCCUUAUCUCUACCCCUGGAUAACACAGUUGGGUCCUCCAUCUUGUUCAAUAAAGAUGUUAUAAAUAUUGUCUAUAUCUAUAUUACCAUCAUUUGGGCCCAUGUGAGGGCCGCAUUUAUUGUGAGAGAGGCCUUUGGCUUGUGUCCAUAUUACAAUUUGCAAGUAACGGGGACUUGAUGUCAACAGGCUUGAAUUAAGACUUGUGAGAUUUCUUAGGAUAAAGUAGGGGGUUUGGAUAGGGGAAGUAGAGAAAAAGAAGGUAAAUAAGGAUUGAGACCAUUUUUUUUUUGUCUUAACUGUUAACGUUUUAGACUUACAAUCAUUUUCGCUUCGUUAAUCAUUUUCUGUUUUAUGUUUUACAAGAGAGCCCAAAGAAAUUGAGCAGUAUUUAUAUUUUCAGAGGUAUACAUUAAUAAUACACAUUUUUUAAAAUAGACGACCACAAGUGAUCCCCUAUUUUAGAGGAGAAGAACUUAACAAUGCAACCAAAAGCAAACCCUAUGGUUGAAUCAAGAAAUGUGACAUGAGUAUUCACCAAAAAUAAAAAAUAAAAAUGCGAACGAUGGACCAACUGGACUCGAGCACCUAAAAAAAAAGAAAAAGAAAAACUGGACUCAAGCAGAUAAUACUUACGAAUCAUCCAGACCCAAAAUGUGAAUAACACACAUGGCCCUAAAACUGGGACAAAAAUUACUGGGCCAUAGCCGGGUUGGGCCGGGCAAAAAUGGCCAUCUGCACAGACCACCAAUGUUUGGUAUUUCUACCAAAAAACGAAAAAAAAAAAAAAAAACCAAAGGUAGGUUGUGGAAACGAACCAUUAGAACUAUUAUUUUGUAUUGAUUUUAACCAUAAUCCUCUAACUCAAUAACUAUAUAUUUUUUUCGAAUGUGAAUUUUACGCUAGUAUGACAGGUAAUAUGCUUUGUGAUGUUUGGUUUUUAUGUCUUGGCAAGUUGAAAAACUAAAAAAAGAAAAAGAAAAUAGCAACAAAUUAGCUUUGCUUGGAUUGUGAUUUUUUGUAGAAAUUUUUUUACGUUUUUCGUGAAUAUAUUUUUCAAUCAUUUUUUUAUUUCACAAACAUCAAAUUGUAAAGUACAUUUUUCUUCAAAAACUCCUAAAAAUACCAAUUCAAACACGCCUGAGUCUGCCUCUUGAGGACAUUAGACUCUUGUCAUGUUUGGCAAAGUAAAAAUGUCGAGCGAUCCCUCUUGUUACAAGAAGUUGAUGUUCGGUGGUCAUUGAAGAUUGCCAUUCAGCUGCGUUUUCCUUCCCUAGAGUUCUUUCGUUUGGGUCCAUCUUUAGUUGGGAGAGAAGGAAAUUGUAUGGAUUCUAAUGCGGCACAGUUUUUAACCUGCAUGCAAUAUUUCAUGUAAUGGAUCGUAAAAUCAUUUGUCCACAUUAUUAAUCAUUUUGAUACACCGUCUAAUUUGCAACACUGUUAAAACAUGAUGUCGAAAACUACGUAUAAUUGGAUUAAUCUGUCAGUACACUGACAGUGUAUACACUAUCAAUAUUGAAUGAACGACAAUUAUGUAACAUUUGAAUUUAAAAUUUAAUUUUUGCACACAUGUCAUAAAUCCAAUGCUGAUAGUGUAUACAUCGUCAGUGUAGUAAAAAUUUACUCAUAAAAUUUUAUCCAAUUGUAUAUUUUUUUUCUCAACAUUUAGAAUUUAGAAUUCGGCCAAUCAUGCAGGGCUCCUAUAUCUACUUUAGUUAGCAGACUCCUUAUGUCAAAUCAUAGAUAUGGAAAAAGGUGUGAAAAUCUUCUUGUCAGAUUUGUUUUUGGACUAAAUAGUUCGUGAAAAUGUGUCCUAAGAAGCGACAAAUCUGCAAUGUUAAUGUUGAAAUGGAGGUAAUUUUUUGUUCAGAUCUAUUUGAAGUUUCAAAGGUCCUUCUCCAAAUCCUAUCUGGUUGUUUGGGAAACUCAAGGGGUUUUGGAUUUCAAAUCCACCACAAAUUCCCCUAUAAUUAGGCAUCAUUUGAAAUCUCAUUUUCACGGUCUCUUCCCUGAGCUAUUAUUCUCGUAAGCAUGUGUAAGUCUCGGUGAGAUAUGCCGGCCAUUGUAGCCGACAACUGGAUAGCUCAGAAGUGCAGAGAAAAAUGGAGGAAACGAUUUUGAAUCCCCUGUGUGAUUUGCGUCUCGAUUUAGUUGAAUAGAUAGUGUUUAUGAUAGAGAGAAGUUGCAGCUAAGGGAAAGAGAGAAUUGAGAAGUUGGGUGCAGCUGCCGGAAACGCAUGAGUGCAGGAGGAGGGAAUUGAAAUAGUGACCGGCAUCGAAGAAGAAGAGGAAAUAGGAAUUUGACAUUUAGCCCUCAAUAAAAAUGACUUAUGUGUAACUGAUACAAAUUCUCCUCAAACAUAAAUAGGAUCGCGAGUGUAAAUUCUCAAAGUUACCAUCUAGCACAAGUGCACAGCCGACCAUUACCGAUUAGGAAUUCAUGGAGGAACAGAUGCAAAUGCCAACACAACAGCAUGGAUGUCGCAUGGAUUCGGACACGGGUAGGGUUGGUCCGGAAGGUUGAUAUGUUUGUUGUAGAUUCAUCAAAAAAGUUUAUACAUUUGUUAUAGGAUCUAUAUAUUGUGCAAUAAUCAACAUAAUAUAGGAGGUUUUUUAUUAUAAACAGGGAUGAUUAUAUGGAAUGUAAAAAUGUAAAUUUACAUAUUAGUUUGAAGGGUAAAUUUGUCAAUUUAUUAAUUUAAUUUUGACUUUUACUAUUGACUGAUAAUUUAACCUAAAUCAUGAGGGGGGUUAUAUAUAGAUUUUGAAAUCAUAUGGAGUUAUGUGAUAAAGUAUCAAAUCAUAGGAAAUAAAAGGUAAUUUACCCAAAAUAGUAGAUUUACACAUCAACUACAUGCAAGUUGCAACUGAAUAUAGGAGGUAUUUAUUAUAAGCAAGGAUGAUUAUAUAGACUGUAAAAAAAGUAAAUUUACGCAUGAACCAGAUACAACUGAACCAUUGACAAUAUGCUUACAUUUGGGGGAUAUACAUGACAUUGACAUAAUACAACCGGUGACGAAGAGAGGCCAAACAAGGAUUUAUUUAAUUUAAUCAUGGGAAGAUAAUGACUUGAACACCCAGGCUGAUGAAGACGUAUAUAAAAACAGCAUCAAAGCAAGAAAUAUUGAUCAAUCCGGAGAUGUAAACAAGUUUCUGCAGAAUAUUUAGUUCUUUGGAACCCAGACGAUGUGAUCCUCAGGAAGGAAAUGGCAGAUUGGAACAGUUCCAGGCUUCACUUUUAGCAGCUGAAAGGCCAAAUGCUUUGGAUUCCAUUCUGAUGUAUCCUUGUGACAAACAACCACAGCCUUGACUUUAGCUCCAUCAGCACCAACUAAAUUAACCAUGCAUGCAUCGGUAUUCUGCGUGGUGCGGCAGUAAAAAACCGCGUAGACAUAGUUUUGCUUGUGGCAAGAAACGAUUGUUUUAUCAUUGUUGUUCAACUUGGAAACAUCCACAACACCAUAAUUCUGGAAUGUUGCAUCUGUUUUAUGUGCUUCGCUUGAAACUGCUAGAACAUCUUUGCCCAGCUUUGACGUAGUGAAAUCAACCAUUGACUCCAGGGAAGUCGCACACUUCUUGUCUUCCCCUUUCAUUGCAGGCGCCUCGCACUCUGCUAUGGUUUCUUCAAUAAUAUCGGCUUCUACCGAUCGUGGGUUCAUUGAGUAUUUGUUCAAAAUUUCAGGAACGGAUUUGGACGAGAAGGGAAUGGAAUCGGCAACCAGACGAGAAGGGAAUUGAGUAUUUAUUGAGUACUUUUCGCUGAUUCAACGAACUUCAAAUUUGGAGGUCCGUUUUAAAGAAGAAAACUUUUACUUUUGGGUCAUUAUAGAGUUGAUCUUCAGCAGGAUUUUACCAUAACUGGUCACCAAAUAUCUGACACCCUAUGAUCCAAACAUUGGGACUGCCUCUGGUCUUAAGCUGAAGCUGCCACUUCCAGGGGACUUCCCUGUAAUUAUUGGAUGAGCAACGAGGUACGACAUAUAAAUAUAUUUUUUUUUGUUGCAAUACAAGAAAACUCGUGUAAUUAUUGAACAUGUCAUAUAAUUUAUAGAUAUUGAAUAGUUUUGGUGUUCGUUCUUUUGAAGCAGUGCAAAAGGUAAGUUUUGGUAUAUUACACUGAAAAAAAAAAGAAAAUUACUAAGUGGGCAAUUGGCGGAAUUUCAAUAGUGAAUCCAUAAUUCAUGAACAUGAGAUAACAUCACUGUCAAUAUUGACCUUCUCAUCUGAACACACUUUAUGCUGUCACUUGUACAUAAUUAUUAGACAUUAACCAUCUUUUCAUAUAUAGCGUUCUUUCUAUGGUUUGAGUCGAUCUUGUAAUAGAAAACUUCUAUUACAAAUUUCUUUUAGGUUUUAGAACUUGGUGAGUGCCUUUCAAUUCAAUUCCCCCAGAACAAAUAAAGACUCAACUCAAGCAAUAGAAGCAGAAUAAAUGACAAAUAAUACGAAAGGAGCAUUUCUCAGACCGACAAACCAUUGUUUAGGAGAUCUCCAACAGCUUUGGGCAUUUCCAACAAACUUCAAGAUCUCGUCAGUAAAUUUGUACACUACCAAAAGUGCAAGCAAAUUAUUUAUCUAAAAAUUCUCAUAAAUUAAUUUUUUAAAUACUUAGCUUUACUUCUUUUUUUUUUUUUUUGUUUAGUAAUGCAUAUACUCACAAAAACAAAAGGAAGAAAGUAGAGAAGCUUAUGAAAUUCCAUGGUAGUUAUGCACACGAGCCACAGUAGAAUGAAAGCAUACAGUACUAAAAGCCAAAAUAUUUGAGCAACCAUAAGAAACUUAGCAGCCUUAUUUAUAAGCGGAAGAGCCAAUUGGCAUUGCCAAUUGUUAGAGGGGCGAAAGAUUUUACUAAUAUCUUGGCUGUAAUAUUCAUCGUAUGGCAAAAAUGCACCUUAACCACCAUUAAGAUUCUUGACAGAUAAAAUGAAAUAGUGAAAGUCAAAAUAUUUUAGUAAAGAUAUCACACAAAAAUUCGCCGAAUUUUUUAUAUGAAUUUUUCUAAUGGAUAGUUAGUAUUCGUUAGCACACCUAAAUUACACGUAAUAAAUACAUAAAAUUACAAUUAUUGCAUCCUAUGCAUUUGGACACAUUUUCAACAAAUUAAUACCUUAGCCCCUCUUAAUGCCAAACCUUUUUUUUUAUAUAAGUGAACUUAAUUAUCACCACCCUUAAACAAAAAAAAAAACCCUUAAUUAUCACCUAAGAAAACUGCCAUCUGUACUUUUACUGUUACCUAAAUUUGCAUCUAAGAAAAUCGUCAUUCACACUUUUAUUGUCACGAGAAGAUCGAUCCUGAAUAUUCAAAGUCUCUUGUAAUACCCCAAAUAUUGAUAAAACACUACCAACUCGAUCGUGAUAUAUAUGUUUGUUAUAUAUGUUUGACUUGUACCCAAAAGACUAAGGCUCCGUUUGAUAACACUGAAUCUAAAUUCUGAACUCUGAAUUCUGAAUACUGAAAUAAUUAAUUUGCUGAAUUUUAAGCACUGAAAAGAUAUAUAUGAAUGUCUGAAUCUUAAUGCUGAAUCUAUUUAUACUGUUUGAUAAAUAUUCAUAACUUAAUGCUUAAGAAGCUAAAUUGUACAAUUUUGCCCUUCUAUCUUUUAAUCCAAAAAGGAAAUAGAACCUAUGAUUUAAUUAAUUUAAAAUUGUUAGGUAUAAAAAUGACAAUGAUUGUGAAGAGCAAUGCAUACAAUGACAAUAUUUCUUUGUGUGGGAAAAGGGUAUGGUUUCAUCAUUUUGAAAAUAGGAAAACGAGCUUUUAAUACUCCAAAAGCACCUUCAAUUACAUUUCUCAAUCUUGCAUGUGCUUGGUUAAAGCGUUAUUCUUUUGAUCUUGGACGAGAAGCAUUUCGAAAAUCAGACAACCAAUAUCUAAUAUUUCGAUAUGGUGUCAUAAAGCCACGUGUGUGUGGAUAAGUUGCAUCACAUAAAUAAUAUUUAUCUGCACAAAAAAAUAUAUAUAUCAAAAUAUAAAUGUUUGUGGAUGAAAAUUACUGCAAAAAAAUACUAUUGUUAAAAAAAAAUUUUGAAUAGAGAAUAUCAGGUUGUUUUGUUUAAUUAGAUAAGGAUUUUAAAUAGGAAAUAUUAGGUUGUUUAAUUAGAUAAGGAUUUUGAAUGUAAUUAACAAACAGGGAUAUAUUUGGUAGAUAAGAUAAAGUAGUUGAAGUAAAUCUCUUGAUUCUUAUCAAAUUAAGCAUUCAACUACGAUUCUUGUGCUGAAAACAAUACAUACAAAUUCAGUACCACUUAAUAAGUUCAGCAGGUGAAUUUUUAUUUAUCAAACACCCACAACAUCUGAAUGUCUGAAUGAAUUCAGUUUCAGCACUUUUUUAUGUUAUCAAAGCAAAGCUCUGCUCCUUUUUUUUGUCGCAACGAUAGAUGUUGUAUAACCUACUCUAGCCUAAUCUAGGGGAAGGGGUAGGGGAAUGGUCAACUAAGACCAGCCACAUAUUGUGGCCAAAUUGUGGGAGGCAGGGGUUGAUCCCCUGACCUCCAGCAUCACCAUUAUGGUGACAAGCAAAGUAGUCAUAGUCCUUCCGUCUAAUUUGGCUGUUAAGAUGGACGGGAUGAUACAAAAAUAAUACAAAAAAUAAAGGGAUAAUUUCAGAAACAUCCCUUGAGGUUUUCAACAAUUUCAUUUAGCUCCCUUAAGGUUUUAAAAAUUACACAUACCUCCCUUAUCAUUUAAAAUGAUAAUACUACCCUUAAAUAUUUUAAUAAAAUUUCCUUGUUUGGUAUGUGUAUACUUAGAAUGACUUUUAAAAUUAUUUUUUCAUUAUUUUUCAUUUUUUAAAAAGUUUUUAGCCAAUAAAACUGUAGAACUAUCACUAUCACCUCUAGUUUCUAUUGUAACCGAAUGUCCAACUAGUGAUUUUUUGACAAGUUAACUUUAUAUGUAAUCCAAUGUAGUUGCUGAUUUUUGUUUUCAAUUUUUGGGUAUUAAAAUUAACAAUAAAUGAAAAGAAAAUGGCCUAAAAUAACUAUUAAAUUAUGAUAAUCCAACUACUCGAAAAAUUCAUAAACUCUAAAUGAAUUAUUUCAAUAUUUUUUUAUCUUAUAAAUUUAAAUUCAUAAUAAAAUACCAUCAAAAGUAUCCCAUCAUAGUGAUAAAAUUAUUAUUAUUACAGUUGUUUAUCAAAUAGUAAGUAUGGAUUUGAAAAUUUUGAGACAUUUUUCUUAUAAUUAUACUAGAUAAUCUUAUAAUUAUAUGGGGAAGUAAAUUAACACUCAUUACACAAGGGUAUUUUUGAAUAUUCAUUUAAAAAUUUGAACAAGUCAAUAUUAUUUUAAGGUUUUGUUACUAAAACAAUCAAAUCAAGGGAAGUAAGUGUAAUUUUUCAAAUCUCAGGGGAGCGCAAUAAAAUUUUUAGAAACCUUUUAGGAGGUUUUUGUAAUUAUCCCAAAAAUAAAUGUCAAGUGAGCAAUCCGUGAUGCGUUUUCCAUCCAUCUUAACAGCCAAAUUGGACGGAAGGGCUACAACUACACAUUUUUAUUAAUUGGAGAACUAUAUUUACGCACUUAUUAGUUGGAGGACUAAAAGUACGUAAAAUUAAAAGUUUGAGAACCGCCGUGGUUUUUUGUCUUUUUGCCCUAUUAAAUACUUGACCACCUAAUUGUAGAUUCGAUAAAAUCUGUCCUCUUAUAAGCUUUCUGGAUAACAAUCCUUGACUACCUAGUAACGUGAGGAAGUAGCUCAUAGUUUAAUCAAUGAACCAGUCAUUAAAUUUGUCUUUUCUCUUUUUUUAUUUUGGUCUGUUCUGCUGUAUUGACCACCUCUCCAAGUGGUGCUGAUUAUUUUUGGGCCCUCACGCUAAUAGCUGAGAAACCAAUUUGUCCAGAGGCAAAUUAACCCAAGAGAUUUAAAUUCUUUUUUGAUUUGUCGGUUAACUUCUCUAGAUUUAAAUCUCACACCCUGAAGUUUAAAAAAUUUGGAGAAUAUGCUAGUAUACUCUUCUAAUUUAGAGAAUAUGCUAGUAUAGUACUCUUCUAAUUUAGAUUGGCCUUGCCUCUAGUCUAGCCUCAAAUAUAACACGGUUGGUCCCCUCCUUUUUAGUGUAGUAUAUUGUGGGUAUUACCAAUUGAAAAAAAAAAAAAAAAAACUAACAUUUGGGUCCUAUGUGAUGGCCACACUUAUUGUGAAGGACAUUAAUAGUAUCACAGACGUGUGAGUUUAAACUCACAGAAGCCAAAAAAAAAAAAAUUCUCAAAGGGAGCACCGAAAGUCUACUAAUUGCAAAAAGAACCCUUUGAAAUCUCCCUAGAGCAAAAAUCCAUUGAUCGCACUCUACCCUUUCUUCUAAUGCACUUGGAAUUGAAACAAGAAAUAGAUCAUUUGGGUUUUUUUAGAUUUUUUUUUUAUGUAGGUUCCAUACCUGUGAUUGGUUCAAACUUAUCUAGAGAUCAUGUGUUUGGAUGUGAUUGGUAAUCGGGUUGCAAUAAAUUCAUGACGGAUUUUGCAAUUUUGGAUGUUUGGAAGGGGAAAUGUAGAAAAUACGUACUCUCGUUUUUGCUCUUAACAUGAUGAACCAGUGACCUUUUCAUCCAAAAUUCAUCAAGUUCCGGACUGUGAUAGUAAGCUACGCGGCCAUUCUGCUAUUUUCCUACUGUAAAAAUAUGAAGAUGAAAUGAAAGAUUCUCUGAGCUCCAGACUAUUCUCAACCACAAAUUUUUUAAAUUUAUCAUUAUCUUAUUUUUUUAUUCCUAUCUUUUUAGUAUUUUUGUCCUUUGAAUUGUAGAUUCUUUCUCGUUGUUUAAAAUCUCAAAUGAUGUAAGUUACAUUUUUAUCCCCACUACAUUAUUUUAACAAAAACAAAUUAAUUUAACAGUAUGAGACACAACACAAUAAUGAAGCUGUAUAUUUAUUACUAAAUUGAAAUAUGUAUUAAUUAUUUAUUAAAGCGACUACUCAUUGCUAUAUAUUUCUACGAUGUAUGAUUUUGCACUCCUAAUAAGAUGUAGACAUUGGUUUUAUAUGUCUAAGAAGAAAACUUUUGACAAUAUACAAAUUUAACUAUUAAUUUCAACUUCACAUGUGAAAGAUCAUAUAUACAUGUAGAACCAAGUACAUAAAUUUGAAAUUUUUAGCUAAUAAAAAAUGAAAUAAUUAAUUAAAGGGUGUACAUAAUUUAGUUUUGAAUAAAAUUUUCUUGACAUAAUAGACAAGAGUUUUAACAAGUCAAUAUGUAAUUCUAAUGCAAUUAAUAACAAGUUAAAUUUCAUAGGUUAACAACAAAAUAGCAAGGUCAACAAUGUUUAAAGAGUAAAAGUUUAAAUUUUUCAUAAAGCAAAAUUUAGGUAAAAGGGGGCAACGCAAUUUCUUCAAAUCUAAUGGAGCAAGAGAAAGAUUCUUAAUAAAAAUUGCCAAAAUUUUCUAAGACCUAAAAGAAAAAUGAAAAACUUGGAUGGACGGCUGCCUCUCCUGGCUCCGCCGUUGUGACCAGUAGAAUGAAAGAUGGUAUGGAAAAAUUAGCCACAUGUUUCGUUUAUUGACCCAAUAAUUGAAUGAUCAUCUUGCUGAUGUCCAAAAAAAAAAAUAUUUUGUUAACAUGUGCAGAAAAUGUUUCGCCACAUCCUAAAGAGCUGAUGAGAAACAAAUUUAAAGAAUUUAAUUUUAUUACUAUUAUUGUUAUUAUUAUUAUUGGUUUUUUCUUGCCAAACUCAUGAUUGGAUAAUGGAUAUAAUUGGUUCAAUCCAUUUAAUAAACGGGCAUGGGUAUGAGUAUACUCAAUUAUUCAUUUAUAAAUCAAUUAAAAUUUUACUUAUUGCAUGUUGUCUGCCAAGAAAUAAUGGUAUUUUAUUGUUAUUAGAAUGGAAAGAAAUUUAAAUUUAUUUACUUAACACUCAGUAAAAGACGAAUUUAAAUAUAUAAUUAUUUUUAAAUGAAUAUGAAUAGGUGAUCCGAGUCAAUCCAUUACUCACUAAUUAAAUAUGUUUAAUUGAGUUAGUUAGGUGAGUCAAAGUAACUUAGUUAUGACUGACACCUAUGCUCCCUAUCAUAAUUUACGGUUUUUAAAAGUUGACUAUUAUGUAGUGAGGAGGCGGACAUCACGAAUCGCACGUGGAAUGUUCUUUUGUGCUCCAAUUUGAACCAAUUUGAUUAUCUAUCUGGUACUGCAGGUUGUCAUAUGUGAUAAAAGUAAAAGAUGAAGAACUGGAUUUUUGUUCUUCUGAAUUAGUAUAUAGCAUAUAUUUUAGUAGUAUUUUACAAGGAAAAAAGAAAAUUAAAUAAGUGGGCCGUUGGUGAAAUAUUCGGAUAGGGACUCCAAAGCUCAUAAACACGCAAGAAAUUGGCGGAAGAGCCAAGUGGGAUUGCCAAUUGUUUGAGAAGGGGAAAGUUUUGAUAUGGUGGCUGUACUCUAUUCACGGUACGAGACCAAUCAAAUUUUGACAUGACAUAUAGUUACUCUAAACAUGCACCUUAAUCUAAGAGUCGGCUUCUUGACGGGGACAGUGAAGAUAAUACAUACAUUAGUGAGAUUUCACAGGAAAUUGGCCUCAUUUUUAGAUGAAUGAACUUAAUCAUCACCUACAAUAAAAUGUGUACCUAAGAAAACUGUCAUCUGUACUUUUAUUGUCACGAAAAAACUACCAACUUGUAACAUUGAGAAUUUGAGUAUCUAGUAGUAUACCUAAAAAAGAAAAAAUUCCAUUUGAGUACCACCUACUAUAAUUGAGAACCCUAAGAACAUAUAUAAUACAGAUGUAAAAGUGGGCUACAUGAUACAUACAUGGAUGAGGAAAUUGUGGGCUAAUGUUGAGGCAACAAAAUAAAUCAAAAUGUGGAAUCUCUUAUCUAUUUAAGUAGUUUUGUUAUGUUUUACUUGUACCUAAAACUAUGACAUUCUACAAUUGAAGCAUAUGGUUAUUGUUAUGAGCUUGUAACUUCGAUUCCUUAAACAUCAACUAUGCAGCGAUUAGUUUUAGCUAAGCAUCAAGCUAUGCAAAACAUACUUAGAUAAGUUUGGUAUACACGCUGAAUUACAUUCACAUAGUAUUACUCCACCUAUAAACAGCGAUUCUAAAUUAUGAUAUUUUUAAACUAUAGACACAAACAUGAAAAUUCUUAAAAUUAAAGAGAUGAAUAAUCCAUAAGUUUGUUUUUGUCGCUAAGUAGUAAAUCACUUAGGAUGGGAUUUUCCAUAUAGUAUAUUUCAAGGCACAUAAACACAAUAAUGUUUGAUGAUGUAAGAAAAGUCUAGAUGAAAAUUAUAUACUAAUACAAGAAAAGUCAUAUAAAUUGAAUAUACUAAUAUUAGUUCUAGGUAUUUGCAUUUUACAUGGUAUGGGCUUCCUAAGGAAAUGUCGAGAAUAUCCUUUUUGAAAAACUAAAAUGAUUGAAGUGACCAAAAUAAGCAAAUGUAAUAUGCAUGGCACUUUAACAGCUCAUGGUUUUGUAUUUUACUACAUAAUCCCAUUAUAUUUUAAUGCUAUACCACAUAACCCCCAAAUGAUUUUCAAAAUACAUAACCCUCUAUAGUUAAUUAAUAAUUUUAAACUUUACAAAUGAGUACUUUUGACGUCUUAGUUGAUUUUAUUAUGAAAUACAAAUAUUGUCACUUUGAAAUUUUAGUUCAAAUUAUGAAAGGAUUAUAUAUAAUUUUUCAAAUCACAAGAGAAUUAUGUGAAAAAACACUAAAUCAUAAGAGGGUAAAGUGUAUUUUAUCCAAAAGUUAAAUUUACUAAUAUUUGGGUCCCAUUUGAGGGCCAUAUUUAUUGUGUGAUAGUCCAUAUUACAAUUUGGAAGUAUUGAUGUCAAGAGGAUUGAACUAUAAGACUAAUUUUCAAAAAAAAAAAAAUCAAUAAAACUACUUUCGUUUAGUCCAAACAAAAUAUCAAAAAGACCUACUAAAAAGUUUUUCAAAUAAUUUAUACUUAAAGUUUGGUGCUACUUGGACUUUUCUAGAGUGCUAUAAAAACCUUUUUUUUUUUUAAAGAUAUUAACAACAGCAGUGGUUGGGAUUACCUACUUUAGUUUGCCGCCUUUUAGGCCCUAUUGUAAGAAGAAGAAAAAAAGGAAAUUAAAAGAACUUAAAUACUAAUAAAUGUCGAGUAACAAAAUGUACCUUUUUGUGUAGUCAAAUUGGAACUACAAACAGGGAAGUAAUGUGACUAUUUUGGCAAAAUCUUAAAUAAUAGAGGAUUAAAGUGAAAUUCACCGUCUCUUUUUUCUCCUGUUCUCGAGAAAGUAAUUUUAAACCAAACCAGCAAUGAUUGAUUUUAAGCUCACGGCAGCCCUUGAAUAGGCUCACCUCGAGCACGCAGCGGGUUCACGACAGAAAACAGAUGAAUAUUCAGAGGUUGUAAUCCAGGAAUAUAUUUAUUAAGGACUAAAAACAAUUGAAUCCUACAAUUCUCAGACAGUAUAGUAAUUGCCCUUCACUUUCCUCGUCCUAUGAGUCUGGCCCCAUUUGCUCCUCAUUUCUGUUUGUUUAUGUGUCAAAAGCAUAUGCAGUCUGCUCGAGACAAUUCCAAGAAGGGGUCCAUUUUCUUGAGCCGUCUCAACUCAAGUGCAGUAGGAAUCAAGAUGAGGAAGCUUCAUUGAAUUCUUCACAUAGCGCCAAUUUUGAAGCUACCCCUCACUUUCUGCGUCUCUAGUUCUGGCCGAUUUGCUUAUCAAUUUUGUUUGUUAUUGUGUCACGCACAUGCAAGUCUACUGAAGUCUAGUCUAAGAAGGUGUCUGUUAUCUUGUUCCUAUUCAAGUAUUGCAGUCAUGCUGCUCUGGAGUAAAAACUCCUUUCUUCACCUUUGAAUCCCUCAUAAUUUUUCUCACCUUUGAUCCUUUACAUUUAGGAUUUUUACUCAUAACUUCUCAAAAGGAAAGGUACAUUUGUUUAUUUGACAAAUGACAUCUACUACAUUUCCUUUACUUCCCAGUUCUCACGUACGUUUUGAUUUCUGUUUUAUUCUUCAGUUUUAUUUAUUCUCCUUCCUCGGAAAGCCCAAAGAAGCAACACCACAUGCAGCCAUGGCCCAUGGCUGCAAGUUACAGCAGUGAUAUACUAAAAUAAAGAAACCUACUGUCUAUAGUAGCAAAAAAUUAAUUUGUUGGGUCAUCUGAACCCACGGCUUUCAACAAAGAAAGAUGCUAUCUUGACUUUCUUGAUGUGCUAUAUUUUUUCGGAUGACCAUCAUGGUUUUAUUCCAGAAAUGAAAAAACAGGCAGAAGAUCGAGAUUGUGAUUUUGCGGGAAUUUAUUUCUCGAAAGAAUCUGUUUUAGGGUGUCCACUAGGUAUGCCCCAACUUCAUGUAUUGCAGGCUUUCAGGCCAGACCUAUACUUUAGCAAGAAAAGCUCUUAGGUGGUUAUCAUCCUUCAGGUUCAUGUUACUGUCAGAAAGUAACAACAUGAACUAAGGUCUGCAAACACUGUAGCCAAUACAUUAGCCCUUCUUCCCAGAUUAAAACCAAGAAAGAAAAAACUUGUCAGGGCCUCUAGCCUAAGUAUUUGUUGCUUGGGGAUGUGUGUGUUAGCCAAGGAUUAAUGACUAUACAAAAUUUUUACAUAUCUAUUCCAGUUAGAUGAAAAAGCUUGAAUUGGCACAAAGAGCAUAUUAUACCACUCUAUUGCACAUCAUCGACUAUAAAUGAGGGAACAAAGUUGAGACAAAGCGCACAAAAUAAUUCAAAAUAACUUCUAUUUAUUAGGACACUUUACAUGCACAGCUGGGCUCGCUUUCAAAUUGUAGGAUCGAAAAUAUGGUCUGCACAAAUGUCAGAAUGAGCAACACAAGAGCAGCUGCAAAUGAGAUGAUGGACCAGGGGUUAUUGAAAUAAUUCCUCAUCAGAUGAGCUCUCCAGAUGUUCCAACGCCGGCUAGAAUACUCGUUCACUUGCUUGAAAACUCUCGAGUAACAGAAGAAAUCGUUGGCUGCCUCAGUCUCGACCUCCUUCACAAGACUAUUAAACACUGAAGAUAUCGCUUUAUCAUCACCUAACCACUUGGUUAUAAUUUUUUGGUGUCGAAGCUUUUCAACAUCCCUUGAGGAAUCAAUGAGACUAUCCAUGAACGUGAGAUAAUCAAUUACAUAUCUUCUAUCAUCCAGUCCAUUAAUCAUGUAAAGUUCAAACCCAAUUAAGUUUCUGAAGACGCAUUCUGUAACAUCAUGAACGUCCAGAGUCGGGAUUUUCAUUACCCCCUUUUCAAAAGCAAUAUCCAGCCACGAUACACUUUUGUUAGCCGUCUCAAACUUUAUCCCGGCUUGUUUCAGUUCGCUUGCGCAUUUUAUGUGCUCGUACACCUCGCCACUUGUGGAACAAUUGUCUUGCGAAUCCCCAUUCUCUUGGCUUUGAUGAUCAGCUACUCGUUUUGCAGCAAAUGAAAAACAGUGCAAGCUGCUAGUAAUUUUGGGUAGCUGGGUUGCGGAUACACCUUUUUCCAAAUCCCAGCUGCUUGUGGAAUAAAUGUCAUGUGGAUGCCCGUUUUCUAGGCUUCGAUUAUCAGCUGCUGGUUUUGCAGCAAAUGGCCAACAUGCGCUGCCAGCAAUUUUAUGUAGCUUGAUUGAGGAUUUUUUCAUUAGCUUCAACCACCCGCCUCUUGUAGAAUGAAAGCCUUGUGGAUCCCCGUUAUCUGGGCUUCGAUUACCACCUGCUAGUUUUCCAGCAAAUGACCAACACCAGCACUCGUGCACCAGGUGAAGAAGAUGAACGACAUCUCCAACAUUUCCAGCAAUGUUUGUGGUAGGAUUCGGUAAUGAUACAGGUUUCUCACCUGGGAAAAAGAAAUGCAGAGGUGAAUCGGGGAAAAUUGCAAGAUCAAUGAGGUUCUCCUCCUCAGCUCCUCCAGGUGACUUAGUCAUUUCAAGCAGACGAACCAGGAUGAAGAAAGGCAGUUGAUUUUCAAACAAUAGUAUGUCCCUGAACAGACAUCCCAUUAUCCUACGAUUCAGGAAGAUGGGGUCACCUUGUUGUGGGACGUAAUUAAGGGGAUACUCUUUGUACAGGCACCAACCAGCAUAUUUCCUCAAAAACUCAAUGAUAAAGAACCCGUCAAGUAGCAUCAUUUCCACAAAUUCAUCACUACCAAGACCAAUCAUAUCUUCUUCUGCAUACCAACUUCGAGCUCCCUCUUCAAGGUCUUUUAAGGCAUUGAUGUAUCUCUCAGUACUUGACUCGCCUCUUCGAAGGAGAAGCUCUUUCAAGUACCACAGCUUAUACGUCUGCGCUUUUACCAAGUUUUCCUUACCGUGAUGAUAAGGCCCGAUAGAGAACAUCUGUGGUUCGUACGCCACUUCAUUUUGGCUGCGAAGUUUAUGAUCGACUCUGAAAAUCCGUUGCUUGCUAAAUGAAUUUGAUAGCCCAGAAAGCUUUCGAUCAAUACGAGUGGUCAGUCCUUUGUCCUCAGACAUCUUAGUAUAUGUUGUUGAGUAGAAUCAGAAUACCACUGCAGGACCAAAGUGACAGAAAAUUAAUCACAAAGUUGGUUCAGAAAAGGUAAAGUAGAACAAUAAUGGCAAGAUUAAACUCGCUAUUUACUCAACUCUCGUUCAGAUUACUUACAUCUUACCCGAAGACCAACAAUUUGCGUAGUUAUCUGCGAGUAAUCUUGAUUUGCUCGAGUUACAAAUGCACUUGAGGCCUGGCCAGGAUUUUAUAGUGCAGCACGAGCUCGUGAAAAGAAUGAAUUACUACUUUUUAAGUCUUAUUCUUGAGAAGAUGCAGAUCAGAUAUGUAUUAGCUGAUACAUCCAAAUUGCUACGUAAGAUGCCAAGCAAUUUCCUUCAGUAAACUACAAUGUACAACAGUUCUCGUGGAGAGACUUGUUGACUUGUUCUCGUGGAGAGAACAGUUCCUCUCCGUUGACUUGUUGAACAAAAAAAGUAUGCCUUGCUUAAUAAUCCAAACACCACACAAUAGACAAUAGCACAACGGAUCUUCUGUCUCACAUUCUGUGCUACUCUCUGUCCCAUUUUUUAUUAUAUUGCUAUUUCUCCUUCAUAAACAUCAUGUUUUAAUUCUUUUUUGCUUCCUUAAGAUUCAAUAACUAUUAAUUAAGUAAAAAAUAAAUACAACAGCUUCAAAAAAGUAAUAUAUAAUAGAAAAUUAAAAAAUACAGCAGAAAAUGAGAUUUUUUAUGAAUUUUCUACUGUAUUUUUUAAUUUUCUAUUAUAUAUUACUUUUUUGAAGCUGUUGUAUUUAUUUUUUACUUAACUAAUAGUUAUUGAAUCUUAAGGAAGCAAAAAAGAAUUAAAACAUGAUGUUUAUGAAGGAAAAAUAACAAUAUAAUAAAAAAUGGGACAGAGAGUGGCACAGAAUGUGGGACAGAAGAUCCGUUGCGAAUAAAUAGUGCAUAUUCAUUGGUAGACGGAUCUGAAUUGUCCACGCAUUGAACCUUCCUUGACGGUGCUAAAUAGGGGCGUACAACUUGACCCGGUGAUCCGCAAAAGCAUAUCCGAUCCGGAUUCGAUCCGAAUUAGUGGAUAUCCGAUCUGACAGAUCGGGUCACAUUCAAGUCAAAAGAGUUAUGCAGAUUACAUUCAAAUCAUUUUUUUUGUGAUUCGCAGAUAUCUAAUUUGACCAGCAUAGUAUUUUGUUAUUUUUAAAAAUAUUUAUACAUUAAAUUCACGAAUUUAAAAUAGUUUUAUCCCUUGUUUCCUAUUUUAUUUUUAUGUCCUCUUCCAAAACAAGCUUCUUUGUACACAAUAUUAAGUUUUUAAACAUAUUGUCAUAAAAUUUGUUGACAAAAAAUUUGUAAAUGAAAUAUUUGAUCUUAUUUGUUUGAAUCAAAAUAUGGAAGUUACUUUCAAUUGCAUAAAAAAAGAUUAACUUCUCCUAAAAACUUUUUUAUAAUUAAAAACUCAUACUAUGUAUUUAUAUAAUAUUUAAAAACUCAUUUAUAUAAUAUUUUUGAAACUCUAAUAUAUUUAAAUUUUAUUUUAUCUUUAGAAUUUUUAGUUUUUUAAAAAAAAAUUAAGAAUCGAAUGCAAAUCAGAUAUCUAAUUGAUCUGAUCCUCAUAAUACAUAUAUCCACAUUAGCAGAUUUGAAUACAGAUCACAAAAUGACCAACCCAAUUUUUGUGGAUAUGGUCAAAUUUUGGUUCACGGGUCGGAUAUCCGACCAUCCAAAAUUUGACCAACAAUUGGAAGUAAAUUAAGAAAUAGUUGUUUGAUUUUUCUUUUUCUUUUUGUUUGGUUUGGAAAUUCAACUUGUACAAAACCAUGGGUAAAGCUUAUAGUACAAGUGUGCAGAAGAAAAGUCGCCAAUACAGGCACGUGAAAACUUUUAGUGUGAUUAGGGAUGGCAACGGGGCGGGGUUGGGGCGGGGGACCCCUCCCCCGUCCCCCGCCCCGUUGCCUAUUAGUUCCCCCCGUCCCCCGCCCCGUCCCCCGCCUCCUGCUCCCCCCGCCCCGCCCCGCCCCGCCCCGCUUCCCCCACGGGUGCCCCCGCGGGAUUAAUAAAAUUUUAUUAUAUAAUUUUAUUAUAAUUAAAUUUUAAUAAAUAAUCAAGUACUAAAAUAUCAACACAUCACCAAAUUAUUAUUUAUUGUAAUUUUACAAUUGAAACUCAUAAAAACAAUCAAACAAAAGUUAUUUUAAUACAAUCCAAUAUGAUGAAAUAAAUAUAACUAAAAUAGUCAAGUUUUCACUUUUAGUACAAAUGCAAUCACUAAUUCAUUAUUGUGUUUGUGCUUUUUUUUUUAGAAAAAAGUGUUAUUCUAUUAAGUGUAAUUAGAAAUUUAGUAUAAAUAUAUUAGUAAAUUUAAUAUAACUAAUUAAUAAAUUCUAUUAGUAGACAUGUAGAAUUAUUCAUAUAAUUGAUUAUAUCAAUUAUAUUACAUAAACUAAUAUACAUUAUAUAGUAUAUCUAACUAAUAAUAUCAUUAUCAUAAGUUUAUAACUAAUUAACUUAUAUGUUAUAUAUAAUUAUAUAUAUUUUUAUAUUUUUUUUUUGUUUUGCGGGGGGCGGGGCGGGGGAUGGGGCGGGGGUAUACUCCCCCGCCCCCCGCCCCGUUUCUAAGCGGGGGGAAAAAAUUCCCCCCGGCCCCGCCCCACCCCCCGCCCCAACCCCCGCCCCGAGAGCCCCCCGCGGGGCGGGCACCCGCGGGCACCCGCCCCCAUUGCCAUCCCUAAGUGUGAUAGCCUGUCUGGGAGAAUGGGUUGUGUCUGAAAUAAAAAAUUAAUUAAACAACACAAAAUAGUGGGUAAGGAUUGUAAUUAAACAAACCCAUCAUAAUCUUAGAUAUUUUUCGAUCAAUUUAUCUAUUGCCGUAAGAACUGCCUUGGUGAGAAAUAGAUAGAUUGGAUGAUACGAAAGAAGAAAAAAAAAUGUAAAUAAGUAAGAGGUCUUAUUUGACCAAAAAAAAAAAAAAAGUAAGAGGUCUCGAACCUCUCACUUAUACUUUAAAAAAUGUUACUUUAAAAAAUAUUAUGAAAAAAAUUGGUUUCGUCUAUUUAUUAAUGUGCCAGUUGGAUGUCAAUUACCUUGUAUUGGAUCUGUGGUGGCUGAUCAGCUACAAGUUUUAGCUUGUUUGGUGACUCUGUAGAAGCUGUAAUGCAGCUGUGGUUUUGGGUAAAUUACACAUAACUCCCUAUAGUUUUACCUAUUGGCAUAUGUUUUCUCUAAUGUUUCAAAAUAUCCACUUUAUGCUCAUAUAAUUUCAAGUAGAAUGAAAAUUUGAUGGAAAAUAGUCUAUGUAACUUCGUUGAUAGGUCAUAAUUUGUUAAUAAAUUUAUAAUUAUUUUUCCCUUGAUUUUAGCCAAAUAUUACUUUAAUUGUCGGAUUCUACUUAUAUUUGGUGUUUUAUAUUAAUUGCAGGGCAUUGGAGUAAAAAGUGCUAAAAAGAAGUAAUUUUCUUAGAGUUGAUUGUCAAGCGCAAGUGUUCCAAUUCAAGAUGGAGUCUACGUGGAGCAUUGGUUGAAAAUUAGGAAACUGCCACCUUUUAUUAGAUGUUUUAUUAGGGAAUAAUUAGUAUUAUGUUUUAGAAGGUUUCCCUUUUUCAAUUAGAAUUGGAGUUCUAUUCUUUUGCGAGCCUUCAGUUAGUGGAGGCCAAGGUAUUAGUACUUGAUAGGAAACAAAGCAAAUAAGAGGAAAGAAAGCCGGAUCCCGCGGGAUUGCUACUUGGCCAGGGCUCCUGUUUGACUUCGGGCAGGAAACAAUAAGAAACGUGAGGGCACUAGACUUGGUCUCCACUUUUGUCUCCUUUGGCCGACUUUGAAAAGGAGAAUUGCUUUGGUUUUUAUGGGGCCGAUUUUUACUUUUCUUCCUGGACAGAAUUUGGGAAACAGCAAUUGUAAGCUUCGAAUAGGUUGGUUCUCCAUUAAUGGAGAACUAGCCUCUUAUUUCUAGUCAAGGGACAACUGAAGAUUUGGUUAUGCAAUUACUGUGAGAUCGUAUUUAUUUUAAUCGCUUUCUCAUUUAUUGGUAUUUAUAUGAUUCCUGCUUUUAAUUGUUAUAGCUCUUGUGUAUGAUUGAUUAGUGCGCAAUAAUUAAUUAUUCAUAUAGGCUAUUUUGCUAAAUAGGGGUAAUUGAAUCCGUAAUUGUUCGUUACCUCUAUCCCAGUAGCAACUGGCAUAAUUGGGUUUAUGUCAGGGAAACAUAUGAUCUAAUUUAAACAAACCCUCUUAGCGUGUUUGUUAGUUAGGAUUGGGUCUUUCUAGUUCUUAAUGCAACCUAGAAAUUAAAUCCUACGGCCUCGUCUGAAUCUGACAGGGUUCCCUUCAGCUCCUCCACGUGGACGGCGGAUGGAGGGGCCACGUCACCCCCCAAGAGUAACUUGGACGGUUGAGAUCAGCUCAACCCAAUACAAUGAACGGCUAUGAUUGAAGGUGCAUCGAUCAAGAAGCGGACUGAAACCCAGAUCCGGUGAAACCCCUCCAUAGGAUGAUGAAGUGGGACCCACAAAGACCCAAUCCUAACUAACAAACACGCUAAGAGGGUUUGUUUAAGUUAGAUCGUAUGUUUCCCUGACAUAAACCCAAUUAUGCCAGUUGCUACUGGGAUAGAGGUAACGAACAAUUACGGAUUCAAUUACCCCUAUUUAGCAAAAUAGCCUAUAUGAAUAAUUAAUUAUUGCGCACUAAUCAAUCAUACACAAGAUCUAUAACAAUUAAAAGCAGGAAUCAUAUAAAUACCAAUUAAUGAGAAAGCGAUUAAAAUAAAUACGAUCUCACAGUAAUUGCAGAACCAAAUCUUCAGUUGUCCCUUGACUAGAAAUAAGAGACUAGUUCUCCAUUAAUGGAGAACCAACCUAUUCGAAGCUUACAAUUGCUGUUUCCCAAAUUCUGUCCAGGAAGAAAAGUAAAAAUCGGCCCCAUAAAAACCAAAGCAAUUCUCCUUUUCAAAGUCGGCCAAAGGAGACAAAAGUGGAGACCAAGUCUAGUGCCCUCACGUCUCUUAUUGUUUCCUGCCCGAAGUCAAACAGGAGCCCUGGCCAAGUAGCAAUCCCGCGGGAUCCGGCUUUCUUUCCUCUUAUUUGCUUUGUUUCCUAUCAAGUACUAAUACCUUGGCCUCCACUAACUGAAGGCUCGCAAAAGAAUAGAACUCCAAUUCUAAUUGAAAAAGGGAAACCUUCUAAAACAUAAUACUAAUUAUUCCCUAAUAAAACAUCUAAUAAAAGGUGGCAGUUUCCUAAUUUUCAACCAAUGCUCCACGUAGACUCCAUCUUGAAUUGGAACACUUGCGCUUGACAAUCAACUCCAAGAAAAUUACUUCUUUUUAGCACUUUUUACUCCAAUGCCCUGCAAUUAAUAUAAAACACCAAAUAUAAGUAGAAUCCGACAAUUAAAGUAAUAUUUGGCUAAAAUCAAGGGAAAAAUAAUUAUAAAUUUAUUAACAAAUUAUGACCUAUCAAUUUUCCCCACACCUAAACUAUGCUUGUUCUCAAGCAUGAGAACAUAAAUCAAGUAAUCAAAUUCAAACAAUGGCUAUUGCUCAAAUCUUCUAUUGCCACGAUAUAAUUAAAACUUAUGUCAAGUAUUAGUGGCACUUUUCAAGAAAUAUCUCUCCAGUUAGUUUUGAAGAUUAAGGACUCUUUCAAUUUAUGACUAACUAAUCUAAGAAUAUAAAAUAUUUAACCCGCAUCCAAAAGCAAAUGGUUCGACUAUUAAGCAAAAUCUCAACAAUAAAAUUCAUGGGUCAGCGGGCUAGCAAUUCAUUCAUAUUUUUCACUAUUAGCACUUUUUUUUUUUAAUAUCUCCACUUGAUUGAUUUUUUUUUUCUCGGGGGAAUGCUUAGUUUUCAGCCAUUCAAGCGUUUUGACGCGAACUCUGACAUUGGCCACAUGAAGGAGCCCGGUUACUCAGCCAUCGUCACUUAAAAAUCACAUACUCAUAGUUAUCGUCGCUUUUUGACGCGAAAGUCGACACUUGUGGUGAAGACCUCCGGUUACUAGACAACGAUACUAGCGGAGUAUAGCUGAAUACUAUUCAUAAAUAAGCAUCAAAAAUAAAAUUAAAUACCACACAAACCCGCUUCAUUUCUUAAACAUGGAGAACUAAGAUUAAUAGAUGAACCAAUUUGCACAAAAAAAUGCUAGACAAAUAUUUACAAUACUUAGAAAAGUUAACCAAAAAGUGCAAAAGUCACAAAAUCUUAAAUAUUCACCCAAAAGAUACCCUUAAAAUCAACCAUGUCAUACUCAACACCUUAAAGUGUAAAAUCUUAACAAUAGAAAAAUUUGAGACAUCUAACCAUCGUUUAUCAGGAAUAAUCACAAAUAAGCACAAAGAUAGGCAAAAAUUGGACAAAAUUCGACAAAGUCAAAAAAAAAUUCCAACAAAAAUGCAUACACUUGCACUUUUUCAAUAAAAUGCCAAUAUACUACCCCCCCACACCUAAAUCUUGCAUUGCCCUCAAUGUAAGCAAAGAAAGAGCAAAACAGAGAUAUUGGGGCAACGACACUUCCCUUAAAACGGAGGAGGGCAGAACUAAACUACGACUGGGGAGGGAAAGGCGGGUGGAAACCCACGUGAUGGAGAUACUGUGUUAAAUUCUGGGCCAUCCCGCCCAUUUGACGCUCCAUUCGCUCCAUACGAGUGUCCAUGUGCUGCAUCUGGAGCCGAAGGGCUGCAGGCUGGCUGUCGGCGGAGGAAGAUGGUGGAGGUGUCGCAGAGGACAGUCCGGGGUCCUCUCGGUCAAAUCGAGGGGGCAGAUCCACUCGAGGGGACUGUGGGCAGUGAGGUAGAGGUGGAAGGUUUGCUCUUGCCUUUGUUCUUGGGUUUGGUCAUUGGAUAUUAGUGGACAAGACAAAGACAAAGUAAUAGUGUUCAAAAUAUGUCAACAAACAACCAACAAGGCAAAUGACCCCCAAUCACAGCUCCCAAUCACAAACAAGUGCAGAAACGGAUAAUAAACUCACCCCAAAAACAAAUUAAACCUGUGAACGACAAAAUUUUUGCCAAAUACUACCAAUUCAACCCAAAAAUCAAUUAAUUAGAUAAACACAGCAAAAUUUCCCCAAAAACUAAUUAAACAGGCAACUAGAGUAAAAACUUUUCCCAAAUAUCACUGAUUGCGCACAAAAUUUGACGAUUAGUAAGCAAUCAACCACAGAUAUAUACCACAGCACCCAAACAAGCACACAAUUUCUGUCCUCAGCUAGCAAGUCAACAAUCUAGCCUCAGCUAAGAAAUUAAAAUCUGGCAUCAGCUAAUAAAAGCUAGUAAUCUGGCCUCAGCUACUUAGUGACAGAAAAAUAAAGAAAGAAUUCACCGGAGGUUUGGAGUAGGCAGUGGAUGACAGUGGAGAGCAGAGGCGGCAAAGAGGUGGCGGAUUGCACCGCGCGUGCAUCGCACGCGCUAGAGCAGAGGUGACGGCUGGCACGAUGGGCUCAGCUGCUUGUUUGGAGCGCGCAGAGGGCGCCUGAUUGCUGAGCGAAGGGCUAACUUGCGCGGACUGGCUGCUGCGAGGGGAUCGUGCGAGGAAGCUGCUGAUGAUGCGCGCAGGGACUGGGUGAGCACUGACAGCGCGCGCUGAGGAUAGUGCUCGGACAGCCGCUGGCGGAGGAGGUACGGCACGCGACGAGGUGUGCGGCUAGUGGGCGAGUGGCGGCGGCGCGCGACGGGGUUGCUGGUUGCCCCGUGCUGUCCGCCGGCGUGUAGGAAGAGGGCGCGAUGUGGGCUUGGCGCGGUGGGCGGCGGCGGACAAGCGGGUGGCGGCUGAAGAAGAAGCAAGAAGAAAAAGAAAGAAAAGGAAACAGAAAGAAAAAGAAAGAAAAAGAAAAGAAAGAAGAAGAAGAAAAGAGUAGGGCUUCGUGCCCUUUGACAAUUUUUUUUUUUUAAAAGGUGGGUAAACGAAGAACUCCUGUCUUAGGCGUGGGCACGCCUAAUUGCUCAUAAUCUUUUGACCAUCCGUUGAAAAUUUAUUUUUGAUCCUUUAGCGUGACCACCCGACGUGGGCACGCUUAACUGCUACAAAGUCUUCUGACUGCAGACGAAAAUUUUUUUCCCUCAAACGUGACCACCUGGCGUGGGCACGUUUAACUGCCACUUUCCUGCCACCAAGCAACAAAUCACUAAAUGCAACUAACACUUAACAAAAACUCCAAAAACAUAAGAAAAUUAAAACAAAAGCCUUGGGUUGCCUCCCAAGCAGCGCCUUUCUUUAAUGUCUUUGGCUAGACAUUGUCCUGUUUAUUCAUGGAGGAUAAAAUCGCGUAACUCGCUUCAGUGCUUCAUCUUCUAUGUAAUCCUGAUAGCCCUCGCAAAUAGAGUAAUUCUUGAGCACACGAGCUACGGUCUUCCAUGGACUAGUAGAUGGCACCAAACAACCAAGUAAUGACCUUAAAUCUUCAUUCACUCCUCCAUCACAAGCACUUACUGGUUUGAGAUAUUUUGCCAUAAUGACUCUUAACUUAUUCUUGGCAUGAAACUCAAAAUUUUCUGGUAUAAUAAAAUCAAUCUUACUAACAGGAAUUAAAGAAUAAGAGUCAGGAAAAUAUUGAUCAAGGAAUGGAGGAGAUGUCACCGCAUUUGGAGAUUGUUCACUGGAUUCAUUCACUUCAGUGAUUUGAUGUUGGGGUCUCAAUUCUUGUGCUUCAACUUUCUUUUCAACUGCAUCUUUAGAUUCUUCUUCUUGAGACUCUUGCAGUACCAUGUCAUUUGUCAGAAUAAUUGCACUCUCAUCUUCCUCAUGGUCGAUAAUAGUCGGUGAGGGCAAUUCUUCAUAAACUGGAGAAAUCAAUUUGCUCAUUUUAGAUGCCCAUUCAAGCCUUCCUUCUUUCAUCUCUUCACUCAUCCUUUGUGUCUCCUGUUGAAGUUGAUGUACCUCCUGUUGAAUUUGAUAUGUGUUAGUAGCUAUUAAUUCAACUAUUUUUUCAAGAGACAAACCUGACAUGGAUGACGGUUCUUGAGACUCUAGCUGUUGAAAAUCUAUUGGCCUUUGUUGAUAAUUAAAAUUGGAAUCAUCCCACCAUCCUUGCUCAUACCCGUUUGAAUAAGGGUCAUACCACGUUUGAGAUCGGGGUGAAAAAUCUCCAAAUUUUUUGUUGAGAUAGUCACUCAGGUAGUCUUGAUAUUCGGGGCACAUACCGGUUGAAUGAUCCCUGGCAUAACAAAUUUCACAGGUUGCAGCAGCCAUUCUUUCUCUAAUAGAAUUUAGUGCCUCUGAAUAUGCAAACUUAGAAAAAAAAAAAAAAACAAGUCUCAUUGCCUUACUUAGAUACUAAAUCGAACAAUGACCUAACCGUCAUGUAUUAAAAAUAGGAAGAUUAUGUGGAUAAAAACGACAAUUACAGGGGUGAUCAUAGGGAUUAAAUAGAUAUUAUAAUUCCAUCACAUAUACUUUUGAAGCUCUUCUAGUUCAAUCAAAGUAACCAAUGGUACAUUCCCUCGAUUUGCUACUUUACAUAAACAAUAGGAAAGUUAUAUAGUUAUUUUGAAACCUUAAAAGGAUCAUCCGGCAUUGUACAAAAUCACAUGUGGAGUUAUAUGUAAUUUACCCUUAAAUUUAUCAUACUCCAGUAGAUGUUUACAACCACCCUCAAAUGCAUAGUAGAGGAGAUUUUGAUCUUUAACAAUAACAUUGGAACAAAUUGUUAGAAUUAUUUUCAGAUUUGGGUUUCCACUUAUUAUGUUUGUUUUGUUAAAAUGGGUUAAAUGAAAACCAAUAAAACUCUCUAAUAGUAUGAUCCACUAUAUAUGGGGCCUAGUUAUAUCUUAGUCAUCUAUUUGGAGUGAUAUGUAAAGUAUAGAGCUUGUAAUUCAUAUUAGGAUUAUUUAAAUGAGAGGUCCUACUGCAGUUAUAAAAGGUUAGGUCUCUCUCAACAACAACAUCAUUUUGUUAGACUAGUUUACCCUAUUAUAUAGAACUUGGAGAGAGCGGAAGUCACCUAUGUUAAACACACGUAUCACAAUGUAUCAACCAAGUUUCUUGUGCAUCUCUCAAUCUCUAGUUUAAUCUUUGAUCAAAUAUCUAAUAUUGAGAUAUUGGAAAAUCCUACACAAAUCUCCGAGCAAUUUGGACAAACAAAAUAACUUUUAAAGGAGUUUUGAAAUUGGAUUCCCAGGAGAUUCUGAGUUCAAAAUUUUCUUAUCUCUCUUUACUUCUUAACUAGUGUGAAUACCCGUACUACGCACGAUGCUGACAUUAUUAAAAAAUAAACAUAAAAGGGUGAAUUAAAAAAGGUUAAAAAAUUGUACCAACACAAUUAAAAUAUAAUAUCUGUCUAACAAUAGUUUGAAAUAUGAUAGAAUGUGUAUAUUAUUCAAAAAUUACCAUUUUUUGGAAGAUAGAUCAUGAAAAAAUAAUAUAAAUUUAUAUUAGAAAAUGAAUGAUAUAUGAAUAAAAAUGAAUGUAAUUAAAUGUUGUUAAAAUAAAAUAUUUACAAAUAUUAUGCAUUCGAUUUGAUAAUCUUGCAUGAAGGUGCGAACACUCUUCACACCAAUCAACUUUUAGUACGAAAGCCAAAAUUGGUGAUUUAACUACAAAUGAAAAUGCACGAUCUUUGCAUGAAUUGAUUCGUUGGUUGAACAACCUAUCACCGUUGUCCUGAGAAUUAAGUACGUGUGAAAUUCAAAAUUAGUGUAUUUUUUUUACAUAGUUUAUAAAUAGCAUUAUAAAAAAUAAAUAGCAUUAUAAAAAAUAAACAUAUAUCAAGAAAUUCUAUCUUCCUUUGUAAUUCUCUGAGAUAAAAAGCAUUACAAUCAAAUAUGAAUCGUGCAUGUUUAUCCUGUAGAUUAAGAUUCAUGUUACCACUAGAAUCUUUGAUUUGUAUGUUAACAUUGUACCUGUUUGACAAAUAAAAUGUUAUAUACAAUACAGAAAAUUUUGUUAAAAUUAAAGGUACAUGAAAUUAAUUACCUAACAAUAGUGUCGAUCACGUCAUUACAAUGCAUACACAAAUUUGAUUGGGUUUGUUUAAUUACGUGUGGGAUUGUUUAAUUACAACCCACUGUUGUGAGGGAGUGGGUAAGGAUAUACUUUAAAUGAACAUGUACCCAAAAAAAAAAAAAAAACAGUGUGAUAGCUUGUCUGGGAGAAUGGGUUGUGUCUGAUCUAAAAAAUUAUGUGAGGGAGUGGGUAAGGAUAUAUUUUAAAUGAACAUGUACUUAAAAAAAAACUGUUCUUUUUUUUUUUUUUGUUGAGAGUAGAAAAGGAAGUUAAAAAAUAAAUAAAUGAAGUGUUUGAUUCAUAUUCUGAUGAAAAACACACUUGGAUUGAAGUUUUUCGUAGAAAAAUUUUUAUAUUUUCUGUGAUCAUAUUUUUUAAUUAUUUUUUAUCUCAUAUAUAUCAAAUUAUUACAGUAAUUUUCUACAAAAAAAAAAUCUCUAGAAAUUAGCAAUUCAAACAAGGAAUUUCAUUUGGAAGAAGACAAUCUUAAUUAGUUGGGAAACAUGGUGGAUAAAAUUCUAGAAAUAAAGUCUUCUAUUUUACUCAUACAACCAUUGAAACAAACUAAAUAUGAACCACAAAAGUAUCAUGACUUAAUCAUGUAAGGACCAAACAACAGUCAGUACAAGGGCUGCAAUUUCUGGGAAAGCUUUUUAAGUAGACUCCAUACAACCACAUUUUUACUAGACAUACUCUUUGUUAUGACUUUUUGUUAUCGAAUAUUGAUAAACAACAGGCGUGGAGAUUUUGAGAUUUUCUUGGGACAAAGUAGGAGAAUUGGAUAGAGGAAGUAGAGACAAAGUAGGUAACUAAGGAGUAAGACCACAAAAUCUGAUAGAUUUUGUUUGGAUAUGUUAGUUUUCUCUCCAAACAAUUUUUUACUUGCAUCAUACAUAUGCUUUCUUCAGUUACCUUUUCUAAAAUCUUUUCAACGAUUUUUUUAAUCUCACAUUCUUCACAUAAUAAAAAAAUACUACAAUAAUACUUCAAAAAAAUUCAAAAAUCUCCUAUAUUUGCUAUUUAUAUUUCGGACGCACAAUUCUUAUUCCUCUUCCAAAAAGACUUUCUUUAUGUUUUACCAUGUAGCCCAAGAAAAACUGAAGAGUACUCUCAUAACUACACACUAAUGAUUCGCAAUUUUUUAAAUUUAUUGUAAGGAUAAAUUACUUUUUAUUCCCCUGUGAUUUGGUGAUUUAUCACAUAAUUCUCCUAUCAUUUUAAAAACGUAGAUAUAACUCCCCCCUCCCCCCCCCCAUAUUUGGGUCAAUUUGUCACCAUUAAUUUUUUUCGUUCAAACUAAUUGGCAAUAGUAAAAAAUCAAAAUCAAACUAAUAACUUUAGGAGAGGAGAACUUCAUAUAGCUGAAUCAAGUGGUGGGGGGUACCAGCUAAAAAUAAAAAAUAGAUAAUGUGAUAGACGGGCAACGAAAUUUGGAUCCUAAUGUGUGUGGGAAAACUCUUGCAGGCCCAUGAUAGGAACUACACCCAUGGCCCAACUGACGGAAAUGAAUCUUAAUCAUGGCCCAUGAUAGGAGCUACACACUAAUAGUAUUAUUGAUUUUAAUCAUGAUUCUCUAUCUUAAUAAAUACUAGUAAAAAAUGAAUUUUUGUGCCACUAUGACAGGAGAGUCACGACUGCUUGCCCAGGAUAAGGGGCAUGACCGUCCCUGAACAGUUCAUAACCAGGAUUUGGCCACAAAAAAUUAUACGAUCCAAAUCACUUCUUGUUUAUCAAUUUUCAUAACGUGUGUGGAGCCCACAAAAUUUUGUUUUAAAGUUACACGUUGUGCAUACAAAGUUAUGAUGCGUACAAACAAAGUUACGCGGUGUGCAAAAUGCACAAAUGCAAUCGUUCCUGCCCGUGGUCCACUUGCCAAAGAGGAGUCAUUGUACGGGGAUUUGGCUCAUCUCUAGUGGAUUUUCUUUCCAUUUUCUAUAAUAUAUAUUUGGAUAUAUGACAUGUAUUUACAUUUAUUAAGAAGGGACGUGAUCAUUUUAAAUUUAACUAAUCCUAACUCUUAUUAAUAAAUAAAGACGUGUGUCAUGCAUCUGGAUGUACAUUGCGAGAAUGGAGAGAGAAUUCAUUGGAGAUAAACCAAGUUCAUUAAAUGGAACCUAACUGCAAUCAUCCCAAACAAUUAUGUCCAAUUUUAACAAUGGGCCUGCAAAAAACCUAUACUUAGCUCUUAUGGGGAUCGAUUUUUGGGACAAACUGUAUUUGCACUUCCAAAUUUGUAUUGUAUUUUCACUUUGUAUCUUAAACUUUAAUUUUAAACAUUUUACAUUUAACCUUUCAAUUUUAAAUACUUUACAUUCUAAACUCUCAAAUUUAUCCCAUUUAAAUCUAAUCAAUGACAUUAUUAGCAAAAUGAAUAAGAUAAAAAAAAUGAUGCAAAUUGAUGACAUUGUAUCGUUUUAUUGUAGUUGUGUUUCCUUAGCUCUUUUUGACCACAUCAACAUAGUAUCAUUGAAUUAUAUGGUUCUAAUCACUAAUACUUUUAGCAAAAUUAACAAAAUAAGAGAUGGAACAAAUUAAUGACAUCAUGUCAUUUUUGUUGUAACUAUAAUCCCUUAGCUUAUUUUGGCCACUUUCAACAUAAUGUCAUUAAUUUAUAGGGUCUUCUAUUUCAUUAAUUUUAGUAAUGUUGUUAUUGAUUGAAUUUAAAUGAGAUAAACAUAAAAGUUUAUGGUACAAAAUAUCCAAAUUAAGAGUUUAGAGUACAAGGUGUCCAAAAUUAAAGUUGAGGAUGCAAUAAAGUGGAGUUAAUGAUUUUUACGGUAAUAUCACCUCCAAUUGAACUAGAGUUUAGUUGAGGAGCAAUAAAAAUUUGCAACAAAAAUAAGAGAUGGAGACUAAGUAGAAUCUAAAUACUCAAAUAUAAUUUGGGAUAUGCUUGAGAAAGCGAGACGGGAUCCCAAAUUGUUAAUCUUAGUAGUUAACACUCAAGUUGGUAUAAGAGCGAUUGGCUUAGUGGCAUUGAGUCGGGACUACGUAAGGAGGUGUGGGUAUUAAGUGUUGCAUAAGUCUAAAGUCAUGUUUGAUAACUCAAUUCAGCACUUGAAUUUAAUGGAUUCAGAUUUUAAUAUGUUCAGUUGCGUUUGAUAAUCAAAAUACAACAUUUGGAAUUAGUUAAGUGGUACUAAAUUUCCUAAAUAAAACUUGAUUCCAAAAAUAAGUGAUAGGCUAUUCUUUUUUCUUUUUUUGACAGCAACAAUAACAUUCUCAUAAUCUAAUCUAUUUUAUUCGCUAGCAGGUAUAGAGACUUGGUUAGACUAAAGUAGUGUUCUAGCACCUCCUUUAAAAUUUUUUUAAUUGCAAGUGGAGUUUUCCCUCUCCGAACUAUAGUCCAAAGAGGAUCUUAGUACCUUUUUGGUGGCCACUGAACCAAAGUUUAAUGUGAUACACACUCAAAUAUAUCAAAUUUAGUACUUAACUAUUCAAUAAUUUAAUGAAUUUAAAUUUCAAAUUUCAAAUUUCAGUUUUAUGAGACGCAGCUUAACUACUACAUCAGUAAGGAGCCAUUUCUAUAAGCCUUAUAAGCUAUCUCUAGAGUCUUCUACAACAGAUUUAGCCCAGAUGUUACCACUAAGUGCACGCAGCAAUUGCAACAUAGGCCAAGAUCCGUGUUUUUCCUGCCCAAAAUUCUUUUGUUUCGGCACAUGUUUUUACUCUUUCCUAGCUCAAUAUCACGUGGCUGCAUGCUUAUUUCUUAGACUCCAAAUUCCAUUUUCGUACAUAUAUUUUUAAUUUACAUAUAUUAUAUUUAUAUGUAUGCCCUCAUGAUCAAGGCAUUCAAUUUUCCAUUGUAUUCUUUUUAUUUUUUAUUUUUUUGUAUACCUAUUCAAUCGGUCAAACCUGUCCUCUUCGUAACUGAUCAAUAGCAUUGGUGUCGGGUUCUAAACUUGUAAAAUACUAGUGAUACUGUAGUAGUUAGUUCCCAAUCCCAUUGGCGUCGCGUUUUAAUUGUAGAACACUAGUGGUAUUGAGGGUAUUAUUAUUAGUGACUAAAUUAAUACAAUAUAAUCUCCAUGUCAAUAGCAAAAUUUGAGCACACGUCCCUCUGUGAGAAAGUAAUUCGGGAGUGAAGGUACUGGUGGUCUGUUUCUAGUAUCCUAGCAGAGUUUAAAGACUGAAUUGGAGUCUUUGCUGCUCGUUUGCUUUAUAAAUAAUUGCUUACUCCUUUUAAUUUAUCUAUGCAUCUUUAUCUACCAAAAAAGAUGCUAAAAAUUUGAUAGGGUACCUUUGGUUACAGCUUGUAGGAUGAUCUUACCUUUUUUUUUUCUUUUUUUUUUUGGGUAAGUAAGAGUCGAGGUCCCUUUACAAUUGGGGAAUAUGACAUAAUGGAUAAUUGAUACAACCAAUUAAUAGAGAUAGAGAAGAGACUAAACAAGGAUCAACUUAAUUAUAGGGAGAUAAUCAGUUGAACUCCCAAGCCGCAGAAGCUUUGUGCAGAAUAUUCAGUGCUUUAGAGCCCAGCUGACAAAGUGAUCCUCAGGAAGGAAAUGGCAGAUUGGAACACUUCCAGGCUUCACCUUUAGCAGCUGAAAAGCUACAUGUUUUGGGGUCCAUGCUGAUGUAUCCUCGUGACAAACUACCACAGCCUUGACUUUUGCCCCAUCAUCAGCUCCAACUAAAUUAACCCUAUAUGCAUCGGUACGCCGCAGGGUGUGACAGUAAAAAACUGCGUAGACAUAGUCUUGCUUGUGGCAAGCAACGAUUGCUUUAUCAUCGUCGUUCAACUUGAAAACAUUCACAAUAACAUAUUUUAAGAUUUUCGGAUCUGUUUUCUGGGCUUCGGUUGAAAUUGCUCCGACAUUUUUCCCCAGCUUGGAAGUUGUGAAAUCGACCAUCGACUCGAGAGAUGUCGCGCAGUACUUGUCUUCCACUUCGAUCCCAGGCUCCUCACAGUCUGCUAUCAGUUCCUUCAUAGCUUCGGCUUGUACUGAAUUUGGGUUCACUGAGAAUUUGUUCAAAAUUUCGGGAACAGAUUUGGACGAGAAGGGAAUGGAAUCAGCCACCUGGCGGGGUAGGAAGGCCGUAGUAUUGUCCAGUAAAUUAACAAACUGCAGAUUCAUGAUUGAGCCGCCAUGGAGGUCCCUUUUCAAGAAGAAAACUGUUACGUUUUGGUGAUUACGGAGUUGGGCUUCGGUAGGAUUUUUACCAUCUCUGACCACCCCAUGGCCAUAUGUAAAAUAUCUUCUACCAAAACGGAUUGGGAUGGCCAUAUCGGGACUUGCGCUGAGACCGCCAACUCCUGGAGGCUUUCCUGCAGUCAAUGGAGGGGCAACAAAGAAAAUUAUCAAAUAUUUUGAUGGAGCGAAUUUUAACACUAUUAAACUAAUAAUAUAUAACAUCAAAUAUUUCAUAUAUUUACGAGAUUUAAAUUUAUAUAAAAGAUAUAUAAGUAGCCAAUUUUCUAAAGGAGGAAAAAUCCAAACUUUUUAAAACUGGGAGGCCAUGGAGCAUUGGCUUUUUUGUUCUUUUCAGUUAGUAUCUACCCGAGCAAUAGAAGAAGCAGAACAAGUAGGAAAAAUAGGGAAGCGGCACUUCUGAGACUAACCGUUCUGUAUGAUAUCUCUGACCGCUUUCGGCAUUGGAGUGUUUGGAAGCUUGGAUUUCCAAUAAACUUCAAGAUCUGCAUGCUUUGCUGCAACGCCUAGCUGAUUAUCACGACACCCAGAAAGAGUUUUAUCAGUAAGUUCCUACGCUUCCCAAGUACAAGCAAAUUAUGACGAAUUUAAAAUAGCUUAGGUUCUCGAAUAAUUCACUCACAGAAACAGAUAUCAGAAAACAGAGGAGCUUGAGCAAGUCCAUCAAAUAAUAGCAGCCACGGUAGAACGCCAGUACGCAAGACCCAGCGAUGACGGUACUAGAACCCAAAAUUUUUGAGGUGAGGUGAGGUGAGGUGAGAUAGUAGUAGCACAAGAACCAUAUAGUACUAGCAUUAUUUAUAGUGGAUCGAAGAGCUGCAGUCGAGUGCUAAUUAUUUGAUCAAUUAUUCGAGAGUUGAGUGCUUGACAGUGACCACAGAAUAGUGGCUGCUCUUCAAGUGGCUUAAGGCUGCUUAACCACGGGAUGGCGGCCACCAGACUCAAGGCUGGUGGCUCGAGCGAUUAAUGGCUGUACUUGUCAGGUCUGCGCCAUUCAACAUCAAGUGUUUAUAUUUUAUAAUUAUUAUGUCCUUGAAACAAACGAAAUACCAAAUCAAAAAAAGGAAAAAAACAAAACAAAACAACGGAGCACUGACAUAGUUACUAUACACCUGCACCGUAACUACCAUUAAGAUUCUUCAUAGACGUAUCAUUGGGAAAGAGGCCACUCGUUUAUACAAGUGUACAUAAUUAUCACCUAAAUUUGCAGUGAGAAAGCUGGCAUCUUAUUUGGCAUAUUUUUCUUUUAAACGCUCUUUUAUUUUGUGUGGUAAGCAAGUACUUUAACUAGUAAGCAAUUUUUCUUAUUUGUAUGAUAUGACUUUAUUUCCUUUAUUAUUUCGAUAUUGGUUAUCCUGUAAAUAGAUGAAUUGCAUGCUACUGCAAAUAUAUGAACAAGAAAAGCCAUGUAAUCAUAAACGUGGGAUUAGAAAUGUUAGACAGGGAUCGUAUUUGGGAUUCGAGUUAUAAUUUUUGUAGGUGGAUUCUCUCUCACAUAAAAAAUAAUGGGCCUUUUUCUCUGUAAAUGUAGUAGUUCUGCUGAUUGAAACAAAUCACGUUAAAUCUUGUGUAUCACUUAUAUUUUCAUGAUUUGGCUUGAUUUUAUCUUGAAUUGUUCUACUCUUGAUUUUUCAAUAGUUAUUAGUUUCGUGCUUGAAUUCCAACAUGAUUAUACCACGAGAAAUCGUGAGUAUCUAAAUUCUCAUGUAAUGUGCCCAAUUACUGAUAAAGUAGUUACGACUAAAAACACAUUGAGAACUCAGCGUCUGGUAGUAUAAUACUGAACAACAAAAUCCCAUUUGCUAAUUAUGAACUGAUAAAAUAUGUUGAGAAUUCUAAGCACCUAAAAUUGUCUCCUAAGCUCACCUAAAUUCCGCAUAAUUAUGACACACGUAAAAGUAGGGAAUAUAUUAAAAUGCUGGAUACUGUUCUUUUAGAUGCGCCUCCAAAAUUAAGCCCAAACGAGGAAGCUGUUACCUCUAUGAGUGAUUCUUUGGUAUGAACAGAAGGUUAGUUAUAUGUGGUUUACAUGAAUAUUAAACUACAAUUAGUUGUAUAAUUAAAGCAUGUGGGUUUUGGUUAUGAGCUUGAAAAUUUGACCGUUUGCCAUCAACUUGCAUUUGGUUUUCACUGUAUACAAAACAAUAUAAAACAUUUAGAUAGCCUCGAUCUACGCACUCAUUUAUAGGCCAUAUGCUAUCCUGUACUACCUAUUGAUAUUUGAUCAUGUAAGAGAAGUGCUAGUAUAAAAUAUAUGCUCAUGCAAGAAAAUUUAUAUAACUAUUAUGAAAAAUCACUACGCUGCCAGUCUGUCAGCGCAUAAAUAAAAUUACUAUAUUAUUAGUAUAAAAAGUUAAUUCUUUUAAUAUACAUACAUACAUAUAUAUAUAUAUAUGCAUAUCUAUAUGAUAGAUCGUAAUUUUGUCAUUUAUUUUAUAAUUAAUUUUUUUAUUAUUUUAUUAAAUAUAAAUUAAUUGUCAGAUUCUAUUUAUUUUGCCAUUCAGGCGUGUUGCAGGGAGUUGGAACAAAGCACGGUAACAAGGUGCAAAUUUCCCAAUACAAUUGUAAUUUGGCGUAGGUGCGUCAAGUCAGGUCUUAAUAUGUCAAGAAAAUGCAAAUAAGGUGCCCGACACCCGUUGCCAAUUGGAAGUGCAGCGUGGGGCCGCUAACAUUCCAUUAGUUGAUUGUUCGAUUUGAAUUGAAAAAAGGCAACUUAUCAAAAAUAGGAAACGUGCCAAUUAGGAGAUUUCCUAACUUUUUUUCGGCUACGGUUGAUUAGGAGACAGAAGGGAAUUGCACAUUGUGGAGGACGCCACUCAGCUUUUGGAGAGGAGCUAGCCGCCACAAGUGGAGUCAAGAGAGACUAGGAGGACUCUUCGCCUUUUUCUUCUGGACAACCGUACACUAAGUAGGAAAUUAGAUAGGAAAGAGGGCAGGCAGUCAAUCUUGACUCCCUUUUUGCUCUUGACUUUUUCGUCUUAUUCAUGUGACUAUUUCCAUCGAAAACAUUAGUCAUUCUUUUUGGGUUUGUAGUUUCUCCUUAAUCUUGUUAUUAUUCCAUCGGCUUCUUCAUCUCAAUUUGGAGACAAUGUACGCGACAAUUGCUUCUACAAAUCUACAUGAGAUUGAUUCAACGGAGAUGAGUUAAAUCUAUUUUUCUAGUCAAGGAACAGCGGAAUAUUUGAUUCAACUUAAAUCGUGAGAUCUAAUUAAUUUUAUUUUUCCUUUUAUUUUUUGAUAUUCGUAUAUUUUUUGCUUUAUUCUCUUAUUAUUGUUGUAUUAAUCAAUUAUCUCUGGCCAGGAUGUUAGAUUAAUUCAAUAAUCUAGAAACAAUUAGAAUAAUUAAAUCCGUAAUUAUUUUAUUGUUAUAACUUAGUGGCAACUAGCAUAAUCGUGGUUAUGUCAGGAAAAUAUACAGGCUAAUUUGUAAACAACCCUCGUAAUGUGUCGUGGUUAGGAUAGGAUUUCUCUAAAUCUUAAAGCAAUUGUGGAAUUUAAUUUACAGCCGUAUUUAGGAUCAUUUUGCAAUUAGGGCAAUAGCUAACGGUCGUACCUUAACUAUCGAUAAUUAAGGAGAAAUUGGUUGUCAUUGCCCGUUUGACAAUUAUAACUUGUUUAUCAGUUUAUAUGCGGAAUUAUUCUUGCAUCAAUGAUUAAUUAGGAGAACCGUUUUCCGAAGUUGCUUCUUGACUAGAGCUGUCCAAUACUAUUUGAGUUUUUUCUGUUUGCCAUUUAAUUUUUAUUUAAUUGCAAUAUUCGAUUAGCAUAACUUAUUGUUAAUUUCCAUAAAAUCCUCCCAUAACUUGAACUUUAGUAGAAACAAAUUACUCCCAGUCCCUGUGGAUUCGACCCUACUUAUCACUAUCUAUAGAAAUUAUAUUUUGUUUGAGCAAGUAUUUAUUAUUGCACAGACUCGAUAACCUAUAUAUAUAUAUAUAUAUAUGAUUUAUAGAAAUUUUGCAGAUUAAAAAAAAUCUAGCUAAAAGUUGCCAAAUUAUUCUCCAUGGUAAUGGCUUUCAAACUCAUUUAACAUUUUUCUGAAAUUAAAAAUUAAACCUAGACUCCGGACUUUUUGAAGACGACAUAGUCCAUGGUCCCAUAUAUAAACUAAGUGAGUAGAUAUUUUGAAGCAUCAUGUUGCUGAUUUCAUUGUAUGAAAGCAUCAUGGUCCUUUUUGACGCUUAAUUUCGAUGUUAGAAUAUCAUCAUUGUAUAUAUGAUUUUUUAAACGGACAACUUGGGUAAAUUAUGUAUAAUAUCAGCUAAAAAACUUGGGUAAGAUAACCUGUUGUCCAAUGGUUAUCUAAGGUGGCGACCCUUCGAAUUGAAUACUGCGAGCUCUAACCUGUUGGCCUCCAAGCAUCUUUGGAGUAUUGGUUGAAACGUUCCACGAAGUUGUUUUAUAUCCAAUAAGUCAGUUCCCACGUUUCUAUUUUGACCUGACCAAUUUGACUUUGUUUUGUAAGAUAAUUAUUACUUAUGCACUUUAUAUCUAAUACAGUUCCAAUUUUAUUGAGAAUUCAACCGAAGAAUAAAAGUUUUCGUAAAUGGCAUUUCAACUUCACCCAAAUAGCAGGUUAUUAGAAAUUUCUUCCUUCACAUUUCUCUAUCUUUUUCCAUAAAUGGCAUUCUCGGCACCACUGUCACUUGUCGCCAGUAUUCGCCAGAAUCUCUGUCACUCGCCAUUGGCACUGUAGUACCUUGUUUUCCUAUGACACUGCCUUCAAAAGAAAAGAUCGAAAACUAUAAAUAUUUUAAAAACUUUUUGAGUUAUUAUUUGAGAGAUGGUAGUGAAGGUGGCCUUGAUGACCGGUGCAAUUGCCAAAAACAAAAAACAAAAAAAAAAGGAUCGAUAAGGAAGCAGUAACAGGAAUACGGGUAAUCGAGCCGAGUCGAGCUCGAGUCGGCUUAUAAGUAACUAUACUCGAGCUCGAAUCGAGCUCGAUCGAAUUGGAAAAUCUCAAAUUCGAGUUUGAUUCGAGGAAAUCUUUAAAAGCUCGAGACUCGACUUGAUAAGGCUCGACUUUUAGUCAAGCCUUAUCGAGUCGAGUAAUCAAGUUUUUUGACUCGAUACUUUGCUUGUAAAUUUAGCAUAAAUUAUACCCAUAACGGUUAUUUUAUAAUUAUAAUACAUAUAUAUUAUUUAAAUUAUAUAUAUUAUUUAAAUUAUACGACUCGACGAGCUGCAAAAUUCUGACUCGAACUCGACUCGAAUGUGUACUCGAGUAACUCGAGACUCGGCUUGAACUCGAUUUGACCGAGUUCAAGCCAAGUCAUUGACCGUAGCUCGCGAGCAGUUCAGUUCGCGUACAUUCCUAUUCAUUCAUGGGAAGAAGAAAGUAAAAACAAAAGAAUGUAAGUCAUUUCCUCCUAGGUUAAUUCUUAACCAAAGAAUGUAGUUGAAUUCCUUUGUACUUCAAAUCCACUCAUUUCAUAUCUAUACAGUUAAAAUUCAAUCUUAGUUGAAUUCAAAUUCACUAAUCCAAAAUUCCGUAUGCAUCCUUAAGAGAAUAGUAGAGAGGACAAUUUCUAUACUCAUCUUCCCUUGAGUUGCACUGGGGAAGUUGUUGAAUCAAUAAAAUUUGUCUUCUUAAGAGCUUUUUGGAUAGCAUUAAUCCUUGACCAGCUACUAAAGUGAGGAAGCAGCUCAUAGUUCACAAACCAGUCUAAUUAUUACCCAUCACUUUCUUCGCCUCCAAUUAUGACCCCAUUAAAUUCGCUCAUGGUUUUGGUUUGUUCUUGGGUACAUGUAUGGUGCAACUGCUCGCCACUCAUGUCGAGUCCAAGAAGGCGUCCAUUCUUCCGGAGCCUUUCCAAGUGAUGUUGAGUGUUGUGGGACUGCCUUGCUAUUUACUAAACCCUUAUAACUAACUUGUCAAAAAGUUAGUCACCAGAACAAAUUUAAAAUUCCUCUUUGAGUUAUUGAUUGAAAGAUCAAAUCUCGCCCUCUGGAGUUUAAAAAACAAAAAUUUAAUGGGUUUGUCAUGGACCCAACUAGCAUGAUUUCAAGCCAUACUACUCGAUAGCACUCGAACAUUGGAUCCCUUUAUGGGACUUGACUCGAGCACACAGCUGGUUCAUGGUAAAAAAAAUUAGUGCUUUUAAACCUAGACUGCUAAUUGAACCGGAUGAACUUCUAGUUCACGGAUCAAAUCAAUAAGUUCAAAGUUUUUUUUUUUAAUAUCAAAUAACUUGGAUGACAUUAAAAUUUUUAAAAAAUAAAAUUUGGGAUGAACUGAUCCAAAUUUUCAGUUUUUUUUUUUUUUAUCGAUUGUAAGUGGUUCAACCAGCUCUUGACUGGAUUUAAUUGAUUCCAAUUGACUUUUCAAGUUUGUUAGUGAAUCGGAUCGGUGCCAUAAGCGGUUUGGGAUUCAACACGACGGUCCAAUUCGGUUUUCAAAACACUGCAGAGAACAGAUAAAUAUUGAAGGGUUGUCAAGUAAAGAAUCAUAAGGACAGCAAUUAAUUGAAUCCUACACUUAAAACAGACGGUUCAGUAAGUACCCUUCAGUUUCCUCGUCCCAUGAAUCUGGCCCAUUUGCUAAUUGUUUUUGUUUGUUUUGUGUCAUGCACAUGGACUCUACUCCGGUUAAGUCCAGGAAGGGCUCCAUUUUCUCGAGACCCCUCAAUACGAUUUCUUUAAUGUCAGGCUGGUUUCCAGCCUGCCCCCGGUCAGAGGGAGCGGGGGUGUUGCAAGUAGCCAUUUCUUUUUAGUUCCCAAGUAGCCAUUUUAACCUCCUUGUACUUUAGAGAAAAAUUCUGAAUUUAUUGUAGAUUUCAAUAGGUUUAGACCCUAGAAUUUAAAGAUAUUGAAUUCAAAUCCCCCUUUCUUCGCUCCGUCUUUUAUUUCCACCCCUCCUCUCCUAGAAAAAAAAUUGUAGAUUUAGUAUUCUUUUACAAAAGCAAUGAUUAUGAUUGAAUUAGGUAUUCUAUGUGACGUUCUUUUACAAAAAAUUCUUCUAGUGAUAUACAUUUGCGUGUUUUUUUUCUUUCAAUUUUUGAAUAUUUGAAUAAUGGUUCUUUACGAUAUUUCUUUUUUCAGCUUGUUUUAAACCCAAAAAAAAAAAGAACAUUGAUUUUAAAAACUUGUGAAUCCGAACAAACCUAUGCUUUCGGAAGAAAUUCCUUAAUUUUUUGAAGGGAUUCAAAAUACUGCUACGAAAUUGGAGAGUUUGGUGCAAUGUUCUUCCAUGAGCAGUCUUCGCAUUUGAAACAACGCGAAAUAUGCUCGUUGCGUCCUGCUAGUGUUUACUCCUUCAAAGCUUAUUGAUUAUUAUUAAUUUUUUUUGAACCAGCUCUAUAAAUAUCUUCUUUAUUUUUAACUGUUGUAUUUCCUCUCCUUCUACUUCCUGUUUGGACAAGGAAUGAAGAUAAAUUUUAACAGAAAGAAUUCAAGGAGAUCUAUGAUAUACCCUGAUAUAUACAGGAGCUGAAAUUUGGAAUUGCAGUUUGGAUGAUGGACUUUGAUGAUGUGCUGCAAUAUUCUUCGAUGUAUCAUUGAUAUGGUAAAACUUAGGCUCGUCUAAGUGUAGGCUACUCUAAACUAGAAAUAUCCAAAGUAAAAACAGGAAGAAAAUCGAGAUUCCACUUUGUGGGAAUUAAUUUAAUCCUUGAAGUAAUCAUUUUUGGGGUGUCCGCAGAUACGCAACCACAUCGUGCAGGCUUUCUGGACAUUCCACUACUUUUGCAAGACAGUACAAUAGAUGGUUAAGUAUGAUCAUCCUUCCAGUUCAUGUUACCCUCGAAAAAUAAAAACCACCGCAGCCAAUACAUUAAUUCCUCUUCCAUAAAAACGAAAAAAAGAAAAAGAAAGAAAAGGCUUGAUUCCAUGGCAAACGCAAGUUUCUGUUCAUGGGAUAGGCCAUUCAUCAGGGCCUCUAAGUAUUUCUUGCUGCGAGGAUGUGUGUGCUAGUCGAGGACAAAUGACUAGAGACGAGCUUUGUACCUAUCUAGGACAAUGAAUUGGAAAAGUUUGAAUUGGUUCAAAUAACAUAUUGAACCCUUCGUUGCUUUCCAUCGAGUACAAAUGAUGGAAUAAUAAUGAGACAACGCACAUAUGUACUGCAAAUUGAUUCCUAUGAUUAGGGUACAUUUUACAUGUACAGCUGGGCUGGUUUGUAUAUUGUAGGAUAGGUCUGGACAAACGUGAGACAAAGCAACAUAAGGGCAGCAGCAAAUGAAAUGAUGGACCAGGGGUUAUUAAAAUAGUUCCUCAUCAGAUGAGCCCUCCAGAUGUUCCGACGCCGGCUAGAGUACUCGGUCACUUGCUUGGAAACUCCCGAGUAACAGAAGAGAUUGUUGCCUGUAUCAAUCUCGACCACCUUCACAAGUUUGUUAAACAUGGAAGAUAUUGCUUCAUCAUCACCUAACCUCUUGGUAAUAAUUUUUUGGUGCCGGAGCUUUUCAACAUCCCCUGAGGAAUCAAUGAGACUAUCCAUGAAGGUAAUGUAAUCAUGGUUCGCCAUCGCGGGUCGCGGUCGUGUCGCGGUCCCGGUUGUUCCGCGUCUGCUGCAGUAUAUUAGUUGAAUGUUAGAUGAUACGCAUAUUAUAAUACAUGAAAAUUUACAAAAAUUUUGAGAAAAAAAUACUAAAAUUUAAAAGUACCAAAAAAAACAUAAUUUAAAAAAUAUCCGAGUCGACUCCAAGUUAACUCGGAUAUAUCGGCCAAUAUUAUGCAUCACGGAUUCAAAUCGGCCAAUAUCAGCCGAGUCAGAGCAAGUCGUCGCGGGUAUGAUGAUAUCCACGAUUCGGGGAUCGGUAUCGUACCGGUCCUAUCCGUUCCAGUUACGACUUGGCAGAUACGUAUCGAUAUCGGCCGAUAUGGCGAACCAUGAAAGUAAUCGGUUACGUAUCUUUUAUCAAGUAGUCCAUUGAUCAUGUAAGGUUCGCAUGCGAUUAAGUUUCUGAAGACGCAUUCUGUAACAUCAUGAACGUCGAAAGUCGGGAUUUUCAUUAUUCCCUUUUCAAAAGCAAUAUCCAGGCACGAUACACUUUUGUUAGCCUUCUCAAACUUUAUCCUAGCUUGUCGUAGCUCGCUUGCGCAUUUUAUGUGCUCGUUCACCUCGCCACUUGUGGAACAAUUGUCUUGCGAAUCCCCAUUCUCUUGGCUUUGAUGAUCAGCUACUCGUUUUGCAGCAAAUGAAAAACAGUGCAAGCUGCUAGUAAUUUUGGGUAGCUGGAUUGCGGAUACACUUUUCUCCAAACCCCAGCCGCUUGUGGAAUAAAUGUCAUGUGGAUGCCCGUCUUCUAGGCUUCGAUUAUCAGCUGCUGGUUUUGCAGCAAAUGGCCAACAUGCGCUGCCAGAAAGUUUAUGUAGCUUGAUUGUGGAUUUUUUCAUUAGCUCCGACCACCCACCUCUUGUAGAGCGAAGGCCUUGUAGAUCCCCGUUUUCAGGGCUUCGAUUACCAUUUACCACCUGCUAGUUUUCCAGCAAAUGACCAACACCCGCACUUAUGCACCAGGUGAAGAAGAUGAACGACAUCUCCAACAUUUCCAGCAAUGUUUGUGUAGGAUUCGGUAAUGAUACAGGUUUCUCACCUGGGAAAAAGGAAUGCAGGGUGAAUGAGGGAAAAUGGCAAGAUCAACGAGGUUCUCCUCCUCAGCUCCUCCAGGUGACUAAGUUAUGUCAACCAGACGAACCAAGAUGAAGAAAGGCAGUUGAUUUUCAAACAAUAGUAUGUCCCUGAACAGACAUCCCAUUUUCCUACGAUUCAGGAAGAUGGGGUCACUUUGUUUUGGGCCGUAAUUAAGGGGAUACUCUUUGUACAGGCACCAACCAGCAUAUUUCCUCAAAAGCUCAAUGAUAAAGAGCCCGUCAAGUGUGAUAGCCUUUCUGGAAGAAUGGGUUGUGUCUGAAAUAAAAAAUUAUGUGAGGGAGUGGGUAAGGAUAUACUUUAAAUGAACAUGUACUAAAAAAACUGUUCUUUUUUUUUUUUUUAGAGUAGAAAAGGAAGUUAAAAAAUAAAUAAAUGAAGUGUUUGAUUCAUAUUCUGAUGAAAAACAUGCUUGGAUUGAAGUUUUUACUAGAAAAAUUUUAAUAUUUUUUGUGAUCAUGUUUUUCAGUCAUUUUUUUUUUAUCUCACAUCAUCAAAUUAUUACAGUAAUUUUCUACAAAAAAAAAUCUCUAGAAAAUAGGAAAUCAAACAAGGAAUUUUAUUUGGAAGAAGACAAUUUUAAUUAGAUGGGAAACAUGGUGGAUAAAAUUCUAGAAAUAAAGUCUUCUAUUUGUUCAUGCAACCAUUGAAACAAACUAAAUAUGAACCACAAAAGUACCAUGACUUAAUCAUGUAAGGACCAAACAACAGUCAGUACAACCACAUUUUUACUACACAUACUCUUUGUUAUGAUUUUUUGUUAUCGAAUAUUGAUAAACAACAGGAGUGAAGAUUGUGAGAUUUUCUUGGGGCAAAGUAGGAGAAUUGGAUAGAGGAAGUAGAGACAAAGUAGGUAACUAAGGAGUUAGACCAUAAAAUCUGAUAGAUUUUGUUUGGAUAUGUUAGUUUUCUCUCCAAACAAUUUUUUACUUGCAUCAUACAUAUGCUUUCUUCAGUUACUUUUUUUUUAAAAAAAUCUUUUCAACGAUUUUUUUUAAUCUCACAUUCUUCACAUAAUAAAAAAAAAUACUACAAUAAUACUUCAGAAAAAUUCUAAAAUCUCCUAUAUUUGCUAUUUAUACUUCCAACGCACAAUUCUUGUUCCUCUUUCAAAAAUACUUUCUUUAUGUUGUACCAUGUAGCUCAAGAAAAACUGAACAGUACUCUUAUAACUGCACACUAAUGAUCCGCAAUCUUUUCAAUUUAUUUUAAGGAUAAAUUACUUUUUAUCCCCCUGUGAUUUGGUGAUUUAUCACAUAAUUCCCCUAUCAUUUUAACAAACGUAGAUAUAACCCCCCCACUCCCCCAUGGUUUGGGUUAAUUUGUCACCAUUAAUUUUUUUCAUUCAAACUAAUCGUUAAUAGUAAAAAAUCAAAAUCAAACUAAUAAAUUUAGGGGAGGAGAACUUCGUAUAGUUGAAUCAAGUGGGGGGAGUACUAACUAAAAAAAAAAAAAGAUAACGUGAUGGACGGGUAACGAAAUUUGGAUCCCAAUGUGUGUUGGAAAACUCUUGCAGGCCCAUGAUAGGAACUACCCAUGAUAGGAACUACACACAUGGCCCAACUGACGGAAAUGAGUUUUAAUCAUGGCCCAUGAUAGGACCUACACACUAAUAGUAUUAUUGAUUUUAAUCAUGAUUCUCUAUCUUAAUAAAUACUGGCAUAAUUGGGGAAUAUUACACUGACAUAAUGGAUAAUUAAUACAACCAAUAGAGAAGAGACUAAACAAGGAUCAACUUAAUUAUAGGGAGAUAAUCAGCAGAACUCCCAAGCCGCAGAAGCAACAAUAGGGAUCACUGGUCGGAUCGAUAUCAACAAG